rnacentral:lncRNA from 1 species
AGAAGUUGUUGCAAUAUCUUAAAAAUUUGACGGUACACAUGCUUUUAAAUAAGAUCUCAUCUCUGAGUUAGAGUAAACUGUCAAGAACUAAAACUUACUUACUUUACCUUUCACCAUAGGACUUGUAACCGUCACUUCUGUCUUAAGUAGUUAAAAGAUAGAACAGUCUAGCCAAGUGCCAUGUCUCUUAUCCUUGAUCAGCUAUAGCUCUAGAGUUUUUGCAGAUUUUCAAAUAAAACUCAGAGAUUCCUUGUAUGACUCUCUAAAUCUCUCUUUUGUGGUAUUUCUGGAUCCUUACCAAGGCAGUGAUGGUAUAUGUCUUCUCUCAAGAUAUGUGGUAUUUGUGGUAUAAGGCAUAGUGACAUUACCUUCUCUCUCACCCAACUUUAAUAAGGCUUUAAUAUCUGGAGCUCAUAGGUGGGAGAUAAAGUAUACAUACUUACAAGACAUUUAUUGCAUAGUCAAACCAUGGAUCCAAAGAAACAAAUCAUUAAGCCAAAUCAAGAUGUGCAUGUGUGGCGAAUGAAUAGUGUGUGGUGAUGAUGGUGGUAAUGGUGGAAGUCUAAUUCUACUUUUGCUCUUUUGAGGGGAUACAUACCUUCCUUGCUUUCUGAAACUUUAUGAGGAGAAUGAGAUGCUCUUCUUUUUCUUUCCUCUCAGGUGGGUAUCUUGUACCCCUAAUUCUACUGUCGGACACUUGUCCAUUUUUACCUCUCGUCUCACUUUUUCUUUGUUUCUUUCGAGGUUCCGGGCACUUGCCCCUUUUUAUUUCCUCGUAUUUUUCUUCUUUUUUUUUAGAGCACUCAUCUCAUGAGAUAAUAUAGCAAGUGGUAGUAACAAGAUAACUUGAGUAUUUAUUUCACAAGGAAGAAACAGAAAUAUUUUUGGUUAUUCUCUCCCGGAUUAGGAGUAGAAUAUUUUUGGGUGGCUCUGGAGAUGGAAAUGAGUGGAUAUAUGUGGAUGGUACUUCCGGAGUAGAAGCAGCAUGUAUGAGUGAACGUGCAAGUGAAUCUUGAUUUACCCACAUGACAAGCUCCUAAGGGUCUACACAGCUUGACCACACUCAAUGCUCAUAAGCAGUAAAUAACAAAUGUGUGGCUCAAAGUCUAGCAAGCAUGUAUAUAUGGCUGUGGUAGGAAUUUAAACUUUCAUCAUACAGGAACUCAUCAUGCAAUAUUUUAAAGAUUUUUCAAAGAUAAAAUUCUCCAGAAUUCUAGCAUCUCUAGGAAUAGAUAAACAGUAGCUCAACCUUCCCAUAUCAUAUCGGUUAACAACUUAGAUUUCAGAUCAAGUUUUCAUCCCACAAGUUUAGAUCUAGAGCAAGCUUUAAAUUAUAACAGUUAUGUCUAAACUUGAGAGAGAACUUCAAAUUUGCAAAUUAGGCAGAGCAACUAUUCAUCAUAUCCAUGCUAGAGUUUUAUUAUUAAGAUUCAGAUUAGCAUACCACUUUAUUUAUUUAUUAAACACAGUAAGCAAAAGAUAUAUAUAUAUAUAUAAGCACAAAAUCUUUAUUUGGUUUUUCAUAGUUUAUGUAUUUUAAUAUUCUAAUAUAAUAUAAGUAUAAAGAUAGGUAGAAAUACUUAGCGAGAUAAAUGGGGGUGCUCUCCCCCAAGCUGAAUUUUGACGUAAUUUCUCUUGAUGUAGCUAGCAGGUGGCAGAGGUGUAUUUGAAAGUCAGCAGCAUUCUGACAGCGAUUAGAAUGUCCUCCGUGUGCUAGUCUUCUUGAUUCUUAAAUUCUGUGGAGCUCAAAUAGACAACAAAGCUUGUGGAACUAAUUAAGUGUUAGCAUAAAUAUAUAGCCUUCAUCAUGUUGAGCUUCCUCAAUAAAUAUUACUCCCUGUUUUUAUAUUUUUAUUUUAUAAAGUAGAAAAGAAAUAUUUAUUUUAUUUUUAUGCCACCACAGUGACGGUACUUAUGGGUUUUAUGCCACUCGUAUACUCACGUGGGCUUAGUAUUUUUUAACAUUUUUAUUUUCUUUUCAAGAUAGCAUGAUUUAACUAAUAAUCUAUUUAAGGAAAGUAAAUAAUUAAAGGGAAAAGGAAUUGCAGAACGGAUAAAUAUGGAUAACUACCGAUCUUACCUUUCGGCGAUGGUUCAAUGUUUUAAGUCUUCUUGGCAAGACUUCUCACCGUGUUCAUUCUUCAGGUGCGUCAUUUGAUUCAGGUGCGGACCUUGACGUCUGCACCUCUUCGUUUGCCCAACAGUUCGAAGUGCGGCGUUGGCAGUAUCCUGCUCACUGUAUUUGAGCUCGUAGAUCCAGGUCCUUCACUUGGUAGAGUCUGAGAGUUAUAAAUCUCCUCCAUGUUUUGCUCGAAGUGUACCUGCUCAUAGAGACAAGGUAGAGAUCAAGUGCAUGGGUCCUGUUGGUGGAAAACACCAACAGAACCUAAAGUGUAUUUGUUCUUCUCUAACCCUAAGCAUAGUGAGCAAGACAAAGUUGAUGAAUGAUAAGUUCAUGAGUGUAGCAUUUAAAACAUUUGCCGGAUCAGGUCACUCAACCUAAUGGAAAGAUAAUCUAUCUAUAUCUAUGCCAUUUUCUUUAUAUCUUCCCAAAGAUUAAAUGCGCAACAUUUUAGCUCAUAUGACUUGGAGUGUGGGAUCACAAAAGUGGAAGGACUAAACAUGUUGAAUCGAUUGGGUUGGUUAACCUAGAGUUGUAAUUCAUACAUGUUUGUCUCUUUUAUUCAUAUGAACGCCAGAACCAAGGAGAAGCUUAUAAAAGUGAUAGUCAAGUACCUUAAGAUGUUACCUUAAUUGAAGAGUGAUGGUACCAUCUUACCUUGUGGAAGCUUCCCAUUCGUAGUGGUUGUGCAUCGUGUACCCUCCAUGGAUCAUCUCUUAUGAGCUACGUCUUCCUUGUGUAAAUUGUUAAACUUCAUGUGUCACUCUCUUCAUCUCCAAUGCGAGUUUAUGUCAGGACUUCCCAGGUUGAUAUUGAAAGUUUUCCUGUAGGGGUUAGUCUGACAAAAAUAUACCAAUGUCUACACAAGCAGUUUUUAGUUCAGUAACCGAACUAGACUCCAUGUCUAAUCAGAUUAAGGAAGGCUGUUUAACCUAAGCACCAUGCUUAAUUUAAAAGCCAAUAGAAGUAUGUGCAGUACUUCCAAACUAACACUUACUAGUAAAUAGACAAAGGUAGCAUGACAGCAUUUAUAGAGAUCUACUCAAGUGGAGAUGAAGUAGUGUGAUUAGUAUUUAACAAAUUGAGCAUGUCUUAAAGGUAGGGACAACCAACAUAGCAACAUGGCAAAGGAUGUUUUUAUGUAAAGUACUCCCCCAAGCUUGAAUUUUUGCAGAAUUCAAGUUUGGAUGAAUUUAAUUCAAUGUUGUAUGAUAAUUGGUUGGACAUACCUUGUGCUUGUCAUUCCUCGGAUCUUCUUGCUCCAAUCCUGGAAAGGUUAAUGACAAGAAUACCCGAAGGAAUAUUUCUACAAUCAUCUUAUAUGCUAAAUAUACAAGGCAAUGUUGCAAAUAAUUAAAAGUUCAUAUUACGGUCUGAUAAGUGCUUGUUUUAGGACACUAAGCUUGUCCUUGGGAAACCAUCAAAUUAUGUCGGCGAAGUGGUUUCCCCUCCAACGCUGACCUAUAUCAAGAUCAACUCAACGAGAUCUGCAAUAUUUAUUAUAGACAUAUGGAUCGACAACCGCCCUUUUAAAGUUUUUAUAAAUAGAAAAGAAGAGGGGGUUGGAGAUCUCAAAUGUGGUAAGGUUGGAGAGACCAAUAGAUUGAGAAGAUGUUGCAUUUGAGCAUGGAGUAAACGAAGUGGCUAUGAAAUAAAUUCGAUCCUUAUUAAUGUUAUCUUCGUCUCCAAUCUGAAUGUUCGGAGUUUCGCCUUGAUUGGUCUCACCUAUGUCCUCUUCUGUAGUUGGAUGAAUCUCAUCUUCAAAGGGAGUCAAGAACUCACUAUUUGAAAUUGAACCAAAGUCAGAAUUCAUUAAGGCUUCUUCCUUAUCCAUCCAUUCUACACAUUCUAGCCAUUUAGAACUUGUGAUCAGGAAAGGGGAGGUGUUAGAAUUUUCAAUAUGGCUUAGCUCUCCUUCACUUGAUAUGUCAUCCUCGACUUCUUCAUAACAGGAGCCAGGACAUUCUCUAAGAGAACCAUUAUUGCGAGGAUUUGAAUUAUCCCUGCUUGAAGGUCUCUUAUGGAACCAGAAGUCUAAACCAUCAGCAUCUGAAAGAUUUAAAGUCGGAAUUCCUUCCUCCCUUAGAGAAUUUUGGGGUAUUGAUGGUUUAGGAUUGAUAGCUAAAGUUUGGGAUUGAAGUGUUGGUGAUGUUGCUAUCGAAACUUCUUCUUCUUGUCUAGGAACUGGUUCUUUCUCUUUCUCAGGGAUAUAAAAGCUAGGAGACUUUCCGCUUAAUAAAUAAAUCAAAUUCCAAGCUUCACUAGCAGCUAGGUGAUAGAAGGACCCUCUAGAAGCUGUAUUCAAGGUUUGCUUAUUUUCCCCACUAAGGCCCUCAAAAAAGUGAAUUAGAAGAACUUCUUCUGGAAUAGAAAGCUUUGGGCCUGUGAGAGUAAGGUUAAUAAAGCGGUCCCAUGAUUUCCUAAGAGAUUCUUCUUCCAGUUGUCUAAAAGAAAUAAUCUCACGCUGAAGUUCCGCCACUUUAGAGAUUGGAAAAUAUUUUAAAAGAAAACUAUUAUGUAACUCCUUCCAAUCUCCAUGAACACUCCCUACUUUGAGUUUAUACCAAUGUCUAGCUUUUCCUGUUAAAGAGAACGGAAAGAGCUUCCAUUUGAGGGUCUCAUCGGACAUUCCUUCUAUGCGAAGGAGGUCACAGACUUGAUAAAACUCUCUUAGGUGUGUGUAUGGGUUUUCCUCACCUUCUCCUGAGAAAGGUUGUUUUUGAACAAAUUCUAUGUAUUCGGGGUCUAUCUCAAAACUAGAUGCUAUGAUAGGCUUUGAAGAUUUUGGUGGUUCGAGAUGUGUGCCCGUAGGUCUAUGAAAUUCAUAGAUAGACAUGUUUGAAUUCAUGAUAGACCAGAGAUCAAGGAUUAGAUAAGAAUAAAGAGUAGCAGAGAUAAGGCAAAGGAUAAAAGGAAAAAUAUAUUUUUUUUAUUAUUUAUUUAGAAAAUGAUUAAGCUAGUUCGUAGUCAACUCAGCAACCGUUUCCCCGGCAACGGCGCCAAAAAAUGCUUGUUGACACUUGCUAACACCACUUGAAUACUAGGUUGUCAUCCCUAGCAUGGCACUAGAGUGUACUAUGGUAUUUAUACGCACACAGAUAAUCUGCAAGCGCACGGAUACCGUUGAAGCUUUUACCCGGUUAAAGGUUUUAUCGUAUCCACAGGGAAACGGGAGAACCAACUACGCUCUAACUUAACCAAGAUAGAUAGAUAGUGUAAAUAGGAAAGAUGGUAGAAUUGAAUAAGAACAAUAUUAAAGGUAAGAUAACAAUAGGUGAUAAUAUGGGAAUAGAGAGUAGAGCAAUUCUAGUAUAUGGGCGAUGGUAGCAGAAUAGAGAGAAUAACUAUGGCUUCUCUACUACAAAGGGGUAUGUCUAUGUCUGGGACGAACCACGUGAUAAGAUUACACCACAAAGGAUGCUUAUCCAUAGGCCGAUAAACCCUACCCGUCCGGCUAACGAGAGGUGGACUACAGAGGACCAACGUAACUGUCACCUACGCGGCCUACCACACGAUCCAGCUAGACAGGGGAUAUCCACAAGUAAUCUAGGUCUAAGCACCACGCUUACACCUAUACUACAACUCUCACCUAUAGCGUCCUAUAGAUUAGAAUACUCAAAAGAGUUGUGAACCAGAACAUACAUAAUUAUUAAUUGCAUAAUGAAUUAGAAGUAGAUUACCAGAGUCAUCCCAUGAGCAAGCUUGAUUAGAGCUUGAUCAUGACGAAGUACAACCGGAGGAAGAACCGAUAGGCCGGCCUCUCCUCUAAUCCUCCUUCGCUCUCCAUCUUGCUACUAUCUAGAUCUACUCUAGUUUAGAGAAGAGAGGAGAGAUCUCAUCUCUAAACCCUAGCUUUUACUCUGUCUAUGAAUAAUGAAUAAUGAUCAAGGGGUGCCUCCUCCAGGGGCUAGGGGGUCUGGUUAUAUAGUCUUUUCAGAUGAAUCUGGGCCGUCGGAUCAAACCGACAUUGAUCGUGUGGUUUUCCUUGAAGUAUUAGGUCGGUGGAGCAUGAUCCGCGAAGUUGAAGCUGAUUGGUUACAGUAGCUGGGCGGGCACCCAAGGGACUUGGGCGGACGCCCUGCCCCCGGGCCCGAUUGGCCUCCGUUCGUUCCCGUGGCUUCUGGAGUCUUCUAGAUGAUAGAAAAUUACGUGGCACGUUAAUAUCUCUAUGUAAACCCGACGUGUGGGCCUUUCUUUCAUAUUUCCUGAUAACCCCCUGCAGAAAUAGACAAACACCAAAACUCGUGCAAUUCUGUCAGAUAAAACCCUAAGUCUAGAUGUUGAUUUCAUUUGGAUCCUUUUCUUUGUUUAUUUGAUAAUUAAAUUUGAUACUUAAGGACUGUCAACAACAGCCUAUCCAAACAUCCCAGUAUAAGUUAAGUUUUAGGUUGAUUGCCAUGAUUCAAAACCUAGCUUUUUCGGGAAAGGAAGACGAAAACCCUUACCUUCAUAUUAGAGAUUUUAAGCAAACAUGUGAUUGUCUUCGUAUUGAAGGCAUUUCUGAAAAACUUUACGUUGGAAGCUUUUUCCUUUUUCCUUAAGGGGAGAAGCUAGACAAUGGUACAGUCAGAAGGUAAGUCAACAACAAGGUGAAUGGGGAGUUUUAUGAGCCAACUUAGAAUCUGGUCCAAACCUUAAUCUUGAAGACCCUGUUCUUUUAUUUCACUUUUUUCGAGGUCUUCAGAAAAAUCACAAACAAAUGCUACACACAAUGUCUAGAGGUUCUUUCUUUCGCAUCCCUACUAAUGAAGCUAGAGUGAUCCUAGAUAGAAUCCUAGAAGCUGAGAUGGAUAAUACCCUUCAUGAUGAAACAUACGAAGCCGAAGUAGACACUCUGCCAAAUUCUUCAUCUACUUUAGCUAUCCCAAGUUCUGAGCCACAAGAGGAAGAAAUUCCACCACCGGACUUCAUGCUGGAUAUAGAAUCCGAUCUUUUUGCCGAUUUUGGAAACAUUUCAAACUACCAUUCUAUUGACAAACCCCAAAACGGCUAGUUUAGCAUUUAUUUGCCAAGUGAACAUCAAUUGAGAGAGCUUAUCUCAGUAAUGAGUAGCGAAUGGUUGGAGGAAUCAGAGCUUACCUCUGAUGUGAUCCGUUUGGACACACCCUCUAUAACUAUACGCUGUGCUUAUAAUUCUAAUCGAUUUAAUGCUCUUUAUAAUCCUGUUGUGGGGAUCAACAUCAUGUCUGAAUCUUUUGCACUUAAACUAUUUAAAACUCUUGUCUUAACCCCCACAACAAAGGUCAUAAAGGAAUCUUCAGGAUGAUUAGUCCCUAGUCUUGGAAUUAAUAAUGUCCUACCUCUUACGGUAGAAGGCUCCAUGGUUCAUUUGAACUUCUAUAUCUUUGAUACAUGGGACUUCAACCUGUUGAUAGGACAACCUUUUAGAAGACUCCUUUAUGAAGGUCAUACUGGAAAGCUACACAUUUCUUUUGGAAAAACCUUUAAAUUCCCAAUAACAAUUUCACACUCCUUAAACAAUAAGGCCGAACCAUAUCUUUUGCCUGAUCCUAUGGUGGAGGUAAAGGCUGCAUCUCUAGAGCUUUUAGAUGAACCAGACUUAGAAGACGAAACUCCUUUCUUCACAGAAGAAGAAGCCGAACCUUCUGAGCCUGAACCCUUAGAUGAGUUUGCAGAAACACCUAGACCCCCCAUAGAGCUUAAAACUUUACCACCCGGUCUUACAUAUGCUUUCCUAAACAAUAAUCGAGAGUUCCCUAUAAUCAUUAGCGAUAAACUCACUCAGGAUCAAACUCUGCGAUUAAUGACCAUUAUUGAGAAACAUCACUCAGUGUUCGGCUACUCACUCCAAGAUCUUACAGGAAUCAGUCCUAUGAUUUGUACCCAUCGUAUUCCAACAGAUCCUUCUGUUCCACCCUCUCCAGAACCCCAACGUAGACUUAAUAACACUAUGAGAGAGGUAGUUAAAAAGGAAGUUAUAAAGUUGCUGCAUGCAGGGAUUAUAUAUCCUGUGCCACACAGUGAGUGGGUAAGCCCAGUGCAAGUUGUGCCUAAAAAGGGAGGCAUGACUGUUAUUAUGAAUGAAAAGAAUGAGCUAAUUCCGCAACGCACCGUCACAGGAUGGAGGAUGUGCAUAGACUAUAGAAAACUAAACAAAGCCACGAGAAAGGAUCACUUUCCUUUACCUUUCAUAGAUGAGAUGCUAGAGCGGUUAGCGAACCAUUCGUUCUUCUGUUUCUUAGAUGGAUAUUCAGGGUAUCAUUAGAUCCCAAUCCAUCCCGAUGAUCAAAGCAAAACCACUUUUACAUGCCCAUAUGGAACUUAUGCUUAUCGUAGAAUGUCUUUUGGGUUAUGUAAUGCACCAGCUUCUUUUCAAAGAUGCAUGAUGUCUAUAUUUUCUGAUAUGAUUGAAGAGAUUAUGGAAGUUUUCAUGGAUGAUUUCUCUGUUUAUGGAAAAACUUUUGAUAGUUGUCUUGAAAACUUAGACAAGGUUUUGCAAAGAUGUGAAGAAAAGCACUUAGUCCUUAAUUGGGAAAAAUGUCAUUUUAUGGUUAGGGAAGGAAUAGUGCUGGGACACCUAGUGUCUGAAAGAGGUAUUGAGGUAGACAAAGCUAAAAUUGAAGUAAUUGAACAACUACCUCCACCUGUGAAUAUAAAAGGAAUUCGAAGCUUUCUUGGCCAUGCUGGUUUUUAUCGUAGAUUCAUAAAAGAUUUUUCAUUUAUUGCUAGACCACUUACUCUUUUGCUAGCCAAGGAUGCUCCUUUCGAAUUUGAUGAUGCAUGUCUAACAUCAUUCAAUUUAUUAAAGAAAGCACUCAUCUCUACACCAAUCAUUCAACCCCCUGAUUCGUCGUUGCCUUUUGAAAUUAUGUGUGAUGCUAGUGAUUAUGCUAUGGGGGCAGUAUUGGGACAAACUAAAAAUAAGAAGCAUCAUGCAAUUGCUUAUGCUAGUAAAACUUUGACAGGAGCUCAACUUAACUAUGCAACUACUGAAAAAGAGCUUCUGGCUGUUGUCUUUGCCAAUGAUAAAUUUAGAUCUUAUUUAGUUGGAGCUAAAAUAAUUGUUUACACUGAUCAUGCUGCACUAAAAUAUUUGCUCACUAAAAAAGAUGCUAAACCUCGCCUGAUUAGAUGGAUCUUAUUACUCCAAGAAUUUGACUUAGAAAUAAAAGAUAAAAAGGGAGUAGAAAAUUCUGUUGCUGGUCACUUGUCUAGAAUGUAUUUUAAGAGUCCACAGGAAACCCCCAUCAAUGAUUCACUCCGGGACGACAUGCUCUACGGGAUUAACAGGUCUGACCCCUGGUAUGCAGAUAUUGUUAGUUUUAUGGUUUCAGGGUAUGUACCACCAGGAGCAAACAAGAAGAAGCUUAUUCAAGAAAGUCGUUCACAUAUAUGGGAUGAGCCAUACCUCUUCCGAGUAUGCUCUGAUGGCUUACUUAGGAGAUGUGUGACCACUGAAGAAGGAUGGAAGAUCAUCGACAGAUGUCAUUCAUCACCAUACGGAGGUCACUAUGGAGCAUUCCGUACACAUUCAAAGAUCUGGCAGUGUGGAUUCUACUGGCCUACAAUGUAUGAAGACACGAAGCAAUAUAUCAGAAGAUGUGGGCCAUGUCAAAGACACUGUAACAGAACCGACCAAAUUAUAAGAGAUUAAGCCUAACAGUGACCAUUUGCAUAGUCCAACCAUCGAGCUUAAUCCCAUAUAAUCCCGGUAGUCCGUGAAAUCUCGAAGGAUUUCAAACCACAUAUCGUACAGACAGCCAAGAUCGUAAUAAGUUUAGCGGUCGCCAUCCACAAAUACAUCCAGAUUACAACAUUCAUAAAAUACAUCGGAGUUCUUAAAAUUAUUACAAACCAAGUUCUUCCAGUAGCGGAAGCUUCAUAGUUCGAAAUACAACACACACACUUAGUCUGAUACAGUGCCAUAGUUCGGUCAUUCCCACAAAAGCAGAAGAGAAGAUGGAGUGACCAUCGCCUUUGGUGUAGUCAUCACCCAUGGCUAGGUAUAGACAGAGGAUGCAAUAACCAUAGUACAUUUGACCAUCUACAAAACAACAUGGGAGUAGAACCCUGAGUACGAGAAUGUACUCAGCUAGACUUACCUGUCAUAAACUUAAAAUAAAGACUCUUCAAGGAUCAUGAAGGCUAUAUAGUGGGGUAGCUGACAACCAUUUUGCAUAACCGCAGGAUUUUAUUACCAUAACCUACAUAAAUCUUUCUUCUUGUAAUUUGCUCAAGUUGAAAGUAUCAUUACCUAUUAUCUAGGUUUGCACCUGCACUAUUACAAGCAAGUAUAGUGAUAUGAUAGUACCUCAUCAUAGCAUUCUUAAAACCAUUUAUCAUUAUAACCCAAGUGUUCCAUAGUCCUUACUACGAGGACGAAGCUCAUGUCAAGUGCUCACUAUCUAGGAGCGAUGGCGAUUCGAAUCGAUUUCUAACCAGCUGGCGAGUUUAUUCCCCACACAAACCUCACUCACUGAUCAAGUGAGCUACAGAUCACUGUAUUGCACUAUCCAGGACCAAUUCGCGGGUUCGACAGGCACCGCCCGUACCCGAGGACCGUUCCGGCGAUCGAGGUAUCAAAGGUAUACCAAGGUUGCGCGCCGCGCCCUAGUCGUUCUCCUCAACCAUCACCAAUACAGCGCGUACAUCGGGCCGAUUCCCGGCCCGGAUAGUGCUCAGGCUUCGCAGUCGGAACGACUUAUCCUUCCAGCUAAAUGUGGGGCAUGCGUUCAACAUGACAAGAGGGCCGUCAACGAUCGGUCCUUAAUUGACCCAGUCAGGGGCACUAUGGUCAACCCACCAUAAGACCCUGCCCGGUCUACAAUUCCAUUCACACUUGGUUAUUCUUUUCCCCAAAGCAACCACUGCUUAAUUAGGCAGGUAUCCACCUGUAUCUUGCAGGUGACAGGGAAUCACCCGAAUUCUACCGGACUAAGCAAGCUAAGCAUAGCCUCUGCGCCUAUCUACAUAGGACAAGGUAGAUAAACGAGUAGGGAUAACAAGGAGUACAUAUGCAUCAAUGGUAUCAACAAUUCCUAUCACUUAAAUGCAGUAUAGUAGAACAAGCAUAGCAUAUCAUGUAAGUUAGCGAGAAUAGGGAGACUUAGAAUGCUUCGGGGCUUGCCUUUCUCAAACGUGCUGGGCCGGUGAUCCGGACACUCCUGUAGCUCCUCUCCGGGUUCCGGUGCUUCCGGAGGUUCCUGCUCCUGAAUCUCCUCUGGCCCCUCGGGUCCCACCUCGUUCUCCUGCGAGCCUGUAUGAUGCAUGUGUGCUCAUGAGUGGAGUGCGAGAUGCCCGAGUGGAUGCUUGUAUGAGAAGGUACCAAAUGAUCAUGACAUGAUGCAUAGGUGAUUAACUUGGUCAUGCUCAUUACAAGGUAGUCAACAUCAUCCAAGAACAGACAAUUGAAUUAAACAUCUAUUGCAUUCUCUUCUACCAAUUGUUUUCAAGUGUAACCAGCAACCCACAUGAUGCUUCAAAAAUACACCAAACCCCUUUUUAUUCUAUUUAACCCAUAUAUAACAAUUCAUAAUUUUCUUUAUUUAUUUCUAGGCCCAUCAAAAUUUGCAUGCAGUUCUGUUCAUCCAUAAUUUCCACAAAAAUUACAGGAGACUUCCAGUCAAGCAUAAAGUCUACUAUAAUUUUUUCAUAAUUUUUGGAUACUUAUUUUGAGCUAUAAAAAUCACAAGAUUAUUACAUAAAGGCAAGUACAAUUACUCUACUAUGGUAUAAGUGACAAACAGCAGAUUUCAUAUUUUUACAAUUUGUCUAAUAUCAUAGGAAACAUCCACAAAAAUUUCCAGACUUAUUGCAUGAUCCAAAUUUUUAUUAAAAAUCAUAAACCACUGCCAUGCAAGCAUUUAAAUCACUAUAAAUUCAUUUAUACACCAAAUAAUGUGUAGCAAUAUUUUCCCAGUGAGUUAACAUACAUGCAGAGCCAACAAAUCAAGUUUCACAUUUUUCUGAGCCAUAUUUUAAUUACUAUGCAUUUUCUAAGUUUAGCAAAAGCAUGGAUUAAUUAUUUCUGUCCAGAAAAGGUGUUCAAACAUGACAUGCAAUUACAUCAAACUGUAGAUCUGAAAAUAUAGAGCACACCAAAAUUUAUUUCACCAAAUUUGGAGUUGUAGAACUCAAGAUAUGGAUUUUACAAGUUUUAAAUUGAUUUCUGGAAAACCUUUUCUGAAAAUCAAUUCGAAAAUGGGAUCAAAAACGCUAAAGACACCCAGAUCUACACCCAACGCGGUCCCCCUGCGGCUGACAGUGGGCCUCUGACCCCACUGGUCAGCGAGACCGAGAGGGAGAGCACCUCCGACGAGCAGAUCUCGCCGGCGAUGAGGUUCCCCGCCACGGGGUGAGCACCAUCGUGCUCCCCGCAGCGAGGCGCACCCAGCGUUACCCUCGGGUUGGCCGGAGGAUGGUCGGAGCACCUCCGACGAGCAUGCAUGGCGGCACGGCGGCGCUGCUCGCCGUGGCCAGGCUGCUCCGGUGCGGUAGAACAUGCGCAAGGGCUCCUCCGAGCUUCCCCGUCGCACUACGGAUCUAACGCGCCAAGAAGCAAGCAAAACGGGGCAGAAACGAGCGAGGUUCGACGCGGCGGAGCUCUCCGACGAGGUCGGAGCAACUCCGAUGAGUGAUUCAUGGCGUUCGACGGGCUCUCACCUCGGUAGAGCAUUCGCAGGAGCUUACCGCGACGACGGCGAGUGCGCUGGUGGUUUCGGCGUCGAGAUUGGGGCACUGGAGUGGCCGGCGGUGAGCAGCGGAGCUGCUCCGGCGAUGGCGCUGCGGCGGAGCUCCUACGGCUGCGGUUGCGCUCGCGAGUGGAGGGAGGAGGGAGAGAGGCGCGGGCGACAGAGCGAAUGGAGUGGCCUAGGAGCCCGGGCCGGCGUCCCGACCAGGUGAAGCCGGUCGGCCGCGGCGCGCUCCUCGCCUGCGUACUACCGCCGUGUGGCCGACGCUGGCUGGGACGAGGCGGGCGUCCGCACGCGGGAGAGAGGGAGAGGGGGAGGCAGGCUGGGCCGCUGUCUCGGCCGAAAGGGAGGCGGGGUUGGCCCAGCAGCGCCUGCCCCUUUUCCAUUUUUUUUGAAUUUCUUUUCUCAAAUUAUUUUCUAAAUUCAUUUAGACCAAUUUAAAUUCAUUUUCACCUCUUUCUCCCUAAAAGCAAAGUUAUUCCAAAACAAAAACCCUACAACUUUGUUUUAAUAAGCAAGGCCAAAUUCCAAGUAGAAUUUGAAUUACCAAUUAAAAGUAGUUCUAGGUUUUCAAAUAAAUUCAUUUUGGGGGAUUUUGUAUAAAUUCCAUUUCUCAAAUUCUAUUGCUCCAAAAAUUGCACAAAAAUAUUUUUAAACCUUCUUACACAUAAAUAAACCUAGUUUGAAUAUUCCACAAUUUUAGAAUCAAGCAUCAUAUUUUUAACAUAUUGAAAGCACAUAGAAUAAAACACAUAAAAUCAUAUUUUGGGAUGAAUGACAUGCUCAUGAUGCUAUGCUUGAUGAGAAUGCUUAUGCAUUGCUUUGGUAAGGCUAAGUGCAUGCUUAACACCUAGGGUGUUACAGCCCUUCCCCCCUUAGGGAAAUCUCGUCCCGAGAUUUGGGUUACUAACCAUUUCUUAUGAAAUUUUGGAUAAACUGUUUUUAGAUAAUCCUCAGUUUCCCAGGUGGCAUCCCGAUCGUCAUGAUGACUCCACACCACCUUGUAUGUUCUGACAACUCUGUUUCGGGUUACUCGUUCUUUGGUAUCCACAAUUCCCACUGGCUGCUCUUUAUACUCUAAGUCUGCUUUUAUUUUGAUCCCUCGAGGUUCAAUCCUCUGUUCAGGCACUUUCAAACAUUUCCGUAGUUGCGACACAUGGAAGACCGGAAAGAUCGAACUCAAUUCUUCAGGCAACUGAAUCUUGUAGGCCACGGGGCCUUUCCUCUCCAGUAUUUGAUACAGUCCCACAUAUCUGGGUGCAAGCUUGCUUCGAACUCGGAAAUGUUGAACUUUCUUCAGUGGCGUAACCUUGAGGUACACAUAGUCACCUACUUUGAAUUCAAGUGGCCUUCUCCUCUUAUCAGCAUAACUCUUUUGUCGCGAUUGUGCCGCUUGCUUAUGUUGCUGUAUGAUUUGCACCUUUUUCUCUGCUUCAUUCACGAAGUCGAUACCGUAGUAUCUCCUUUCACCAGGUUCAACCCAAUUUAACGGAGUUCUACACCUUCGACCAUACAAAGCUUCGAACGGAGCCAUCUUGAUACUCUCUUGGUAGUUGUUAUUGUAUGAGAAUUCAGCCAGAGGUAACCAUGACUCCCAUGAUUCCUUGGAUGAUAGCACACAGGCCCUCAGCAUAUCUUCUAACACUUGAUUUAGCCUCUCAGUUUGACCUGAGGUUUGGGGAUGAUACGCGGUGCUUCUUAUUAGACUGGUCCCCAAACUCUUAUGCAUUCGCUCCCAAAAGUGAGCGAUGAACUGUGGUCCUCUAUCUGAUAUGAUGGUCUUGGGAAUACCAUGCAACUUGACAAUCUCGGCCAUAUAUAUAUCGGCAUACUCGGGAGGUCUGUAUGUGUUCUUAACUGGGAUGAAAUGAGCCGACUUGGUUAAUCGAUCUAUGAUUACCCAAAUCGAGUCAUUCCCCUUCCUCGUGGUUGGUAAACCUGUGAUAAAGUCCAUGCUGACCUCUUCCCAUUUCCACUCGGGAACUGAUAACGGUUGCAACAGACCUACAGGUUUCAUAUGGAUGGCCUUAACUCUGCAACACGUGUCACAACGGGCCACAUAUGCGGCUAUUUCUUUCUUCAUCUUGGUCCACCAAAAGUGGGGUCUUAGGUCUUGAUACAUUUUACUACUGCCAGGGUGAAUAGAAACCUUAGAGAUAUGGGCCUCAUCCAUGAUACGAUUCUUCAAUUCCCGAUCCUUCGGGACUACUAACCGAUGUUGAAACCACAGUACCCCUUUUUCAUCAACUCAAAACUGAGUUUUUGGGUCAUCUUUGAUCUUCUCUUUGAUGUGGAAAAUACCCUUGUCUGUUUUCUGACCUUCAAUGACUUGACUCUCGAGCGAACAACUAAGUUGUAUGUGACAUAAGACUUCAGGAUGCAUGAGGUUAAAACCAUCUUCAAACAACGGUUGAACCACCUGAUAGUGCGGUUUACGACUCAAAGCGUCUUCUACUACAUUAGCUUUGCCUGGAUGAUAGUGAACUUCCAGAUCAUAGUCCUUGAUUAGCUCUAACCACCGUCGUUGCCUCAUAUUCAGCUCGGACUGAGUGAAGAUGUACUUCAAGCUCUUAUGAUCGGUAUAGAUAUGACACUUAUUUCCCAGCAAAUAGUGUCUCCAAAUCUUCAAAGCGUGCACUACUGCUGCUAACUCAAGGUCGUGAGUUGGGUAGUUGACUUCGUGCUUUCUCAACUGUCAUGAAGCAUAAGCUAUCACUCUGCCAUCUUGCAUCAACACACACCCCAAGCCACUUUUCGACGCGUCGCAAAACACAUCAAAAGGCUUCUCGAUAUUGGGUUGCGCCAGAAUGGGAGCAGUGGUUAGCAACUUUCGCAAGGUGCGGAAGGCUAGCUCACACCCCUCCGUCCAGACAAACUUAUGAUCCUUUUGUAACAAACUGGUCAUUGGCUUAGCAAUCUUGGAGAAGUCAGGUAUGAAACGACGAUAAUACCCGGCCAGACCAAGAAAACUUCUAACUUCUGAGACAGAAGUUGGUGCCUUCCAGUCCAUGACUUCCUGCACUUUUGACGGAUCCACAACAAUCCCUUCUUUAGAUAGAAUGUGCCCCAGGAAUGGAACUUUCUUCAACCAGAACUCACACUUGCUGAACUUGGCAUAUAACUGAUGCUCUCGUAAUCGUGUUAACACGAUUCUCAGAUGCUCGGCGUGAUCUUGCUCAUUUUCUGAAUAAACCAGAAUAUCAUCGAUAAACACCACAACAAACUUAUCUAAUUCUGGCAUAAAGACUGAAUUCAUCAGAUACAUAAAGUAUGCAGCAUUUGUCAACCCAAAGGACAUGACAAGAUACUCAUACAACCCAUAUCUGGUGGAAAAAGCAGUCUUCGGUUUAUCCUGCGGACGAAUCUUGAUUUGGUGAUACCCAGACCUCAAAUCUAUCUUGGAAAACACUUUUGCCUUGGACAACUGAUCAAACAAGAUAUCAAUCCUUGGCAAAGGAUACUUAUUUUUGAUGGUCACUACAUUUAGCGGACGAUAGUCCACGCACAUGCGCAAAGACUGAUCCUUCUUUUUCACGAACAACGCUGGACAACCCCAUUCUGAUGAACUUGGCCGGAUGAACCCUUUAUCCAGUAACUCCUUUAGUUGAUUCUUCAACUCAGCAAGUUCGUUUGGUGGCAUCCGGUACGGCCUUCUAGAUAUUGCUGUUGUACCUAGUAUCAACUCGAUUGCAAACUCUACUUCCCUAUCCGGAGGAAGUCCUGGCAAUUCCUCGGGAAAAACAUCAUGGAACUCACAUACCACGGGUAUGUGUUCUAGUGGAACCACCUGUACUGCACACGAAAGACUGGCGAAGUCUAACCGUCGGGGUAGCUUGACCUGAAGCACACCCUUCCCUUGCGGGUCUCUGAGGGAAAGAGUUCUAUUCCCGGCAUCUAUAACCGCGCCCCAGUCAGUCAUCUUUUUCAUUCCAAUGAUGACAUCCAAAACCAGCCCUAGCAUGACCACAAGGUUUACGCGAAACCUCCGGCCACUGAUAUCCAAGGUAACUCCUGUUACUGUUUUAUUAGUCAACACAUCAGCUCCGGCUGAGCUGAUGUGAUAGCCAUAACCCAACUCAGUAACUGGCUGGUCAUGCUUUUGUGCAAAUGCUUGGCUCAUGAAUGAAUGCGAUGAUCCAGAAUCAAACAAAACAACUGCAAGAUGUUGGUUGACAGGAAACAUACCAGCUGUUACUGGUUCUCCUUCCGGGAUCUCCUCGAUUGAGGUAUGGUGCACACGAGCUGGAUAGGUUGGCUGCUGCCUCUUGGGGUAGGUACAUUCCUUAGCAAAGUGCCCCAUCUUGUGGCAGUUAUAGCAUGGACCCUUGGGCGCAUUGUUGGCGGCAGGUGCCGCAGCUUGAAUUGCCUUUGGCUUGGCAGGAGCUAUUGCCACCUUGUACGGCUUCUACUGCGUUGGAUGCCCGGUGUUCCUUCUCUGUGGCGGUCGGAACCUAGCACCUGGGGCAGGAGGACGAUACUGUUGUCGCCCCGCCACUGGUGCCAUAGGCUGGGAUGAUCCGGCUUCAAAAGCCCUCUUACGUGACUUGGAUGCACUGUAGUUGUUGUUAUUGUUCUCCUGGGUCAGGCAGUCAUUGAUAUAGGCAUUGAAGGUAGCCCUAGCUCCUGUACCCAUGGUCUUUAGCAUCUUUGGAUUCAAUCCUCUCUAGAAACUAGCAAUCUUCUUGGCCUCCGUGUUCACAAACUCAGGGGCGUAGCGAGCGAGAUUGUUGAAAGCAUGUAGAUACUCCUUCACAGAUUUCGUCCCCUGGGACAGCCACAUGAAUUCCCCAACCUUCAUUUCAACCACACCCGGAGGAAUGUAAUUUCCCCAGAAAGCGGUGGUGAAGCGGUUCCAGGUGAUUGGGGUCACCUCUGGGUAGGUAGUACGAUGAUGGGACCACCAAAUUCCAACGGGUCCUUGCAACUGAUGUGCCGCAUACUCAGCCUUGAGUUCUUCUGUCAUCUGAAGAAGACGAAACUUCUUCUCCAUAGUGUUAAUCCACUCAUCAGCUUCAAGCGGUUCCAAAGCCUCCUUGAAGACUGGUGGCUUGGUAUCCAUGAAGUCCUUGAAAGAGCUGUACUGAUUGACUUCACCGCCGCCCUGGUUAUCCCCACGACGGGUGUUGUCAGCUAUGUUACGCAGAGCCUCUUCCAUGUUGCGCUGCAUCUGUUCCAUGUUGCGUUGGCUCCCCAAAAACUGCGCGAAAAACACGUCCGCAGUGUACGGAGGGGGCGGUGGUGGUGGUGUUGGUGCUCUGUCCUCAUCCCGUUGAGCCCCACCUCUGGACGUACCUGCUCCAAGACCCGGUUUGCUGUUACCCCCGCCACGUGUUUGCACCAUCUACAUACGUCAAUGAUAAGCAAUCGUUAGGAGUUGCCAUCAGCGGUAGAAAUGUGUAGAAUCAUGCCGUACUGAAUUUACUGAGGGAAUAAAUUCGCACAAUAAACAGAGGCACAACAAUUCAUCAUCUACGCACAACAUCACUAAUAGAUUACUUAACAUUCAAGCAAUAAGGUUCACGUACAUCCAAAUUUGCCAGCAUACAUACACUGGACUUUCAGUGUCAUCUCAUAAGUCUUACAUAGCCCAGAUCCAAAAGUACAAGACAUGCCAUGCAACAUACAACACAAAAGAAAAAGGACUAGCUCUAGAGCCCUAGCAUCUACUCGCUAUGGUCACUGUCCAUGCCGGAGCCAUCCUCGUCCUCAUCUCCACUAGCAGCUGCUCCUAUCUCGGGAUCCUCAUCCAUCUCGUCCUCAGAGUCUAGCUCAGCUGCUCCAGGCAGGUGGUGAGGGUGGAGCUAGUUAUGCAGCUGGUGGAUCUCCUCAUGCAAGUUCUCAUUGUACUCCUCAGCAUUAGCUAGCUGCUGCUCUAGCUCCAGCUGUCGGGCCCUCAGAGUGUCCUCCUCGUGCCAGGCUUCAUUCCUCUGACCAAGCACAUGGACUAGCAUGCGCUCGCAGUUCCUGUGAGCAGUAGUCACCCCAUCUCUCUGCUCUUGCACUGCAAGCAGGUCCUGGCUCAGCUCACUAUUCUGCUGGACUGCCUGGUCUCUCUCGGGUCACGUGGGCCAACUCCGCCUGUAGCCUCUCAACCUCAGAGUCGAACUCAGGCUACAACUGGCGCUUCUCAUCCUGGACGGUGAGAAGAGACCCGGACAAGCGACCCAAACAACGCUCUAGGGCUCCAUAGGUCUUCAUCAAAGCGUACAUGGCACUCAUAGCUGCGCUGUCACUGUGCUGGUCCUCAUCCGCACUCCUCUCUAGAGCGUUCACCUCGGACUGAUCCCACACCGAAGUGUAGGGGUCACCCCGGGGAAACACUCCAGCGAAGGCGUGGGCCAGCUCCUGUGGAAACCUCUCCAUGAGGUCCCUCAGAACUGCGAAAGCUGCCCUGCUGGCACCGUGGAAAGGCAUGGCACCUCGGGACUCAUACACCUAGCCGCCCCAGGCGGGGUCACCUCCACUAGUAGGAACAGUUGCCUCGAUCCCCACCAGGGUCUCGUCACCAAGCGGCUCCUUAUCCCAAUAGUAGCGAGGCUCCCUUCCUUCACGAUACCCCAUCGAGCUGAGCACUCUCCAAAGCAAAGUGGGCAUCCCAAACUCCUCCAGGAACUUGCUCUUAUGUCGCGAGCUCCUAGCUGCCAACAGAUGGCGAGGGGCCCGCCCACCAGUGGACUUGCGAGCGGUGAGCCUAGUGCGCGCCAUCUGCUGCAAAUGGAAUACCUUGGGUAAGAGCGAGGAUUAUCUUUAAUUAUUUUAUUUAGAAUUGGGACAGAUUAAAUUAAGGGGGAAAGUGAGCAAUGAUAUGAAAUGAACAUGAUGCAUGCACGAAGUUACGAUCCCACAAACUUAAGGAACACAAGUUAGCACUAAGCGAUAUAUGCGGUGGCACACAGCGUUCUCUCAUAACGUAACUAGCGCUCUAAGCGAGAACGUGGUUAGCAUACCUGUAGAAAACUCAUUUCAGCCCACCCACAGUAUGCUCAUGCAGAACAAGAAUUUUAAAACUAUACACCCCACAUACACAGACACCCGUCCAUGCAUAUGAUGUGUCACUACCCACAUCAUCGCCCUAAUGACGGCAUCGCCUCUCAGGACGUUAUUCCCAACAUGCGGUACUGUUCCCAAAACACACCAAAACAUGUGUGCAUGACACAGCACCUAACAACACUCCCCUAGACCGGCAGUGUAUCCGAUCAUGCUCUCACAGCUCCCACUUACCGCGGCGUAGAGGAAAAAUGGAUCCAUACAUUACCACUCAAAUGAAUGGUACUCAUACCAUUGCACGCCGUAUGAGCGACGAAAUAGAAAUAUGAUGCAUUAACCCCCAAGUCAGUACUUAACUAGCCACCUUAGAGUCCUUAACUGGGCAUAAAGGAUAUGACCAUGGCACACUAGAUAGUUUUCCAAAACUUAGUUUAACACCUUGAUCAUUAUUAAUUAAUAAAAUCUUUUAUUAAACCGGUUUAGAUUUAGUUUAGAACGUACUUAUGAACAGUAACUCGCUAAACCUUGCUCCGAUGCCAUCUGUAACAGAACCGACCAAAUUAUAAGAGAUUAAGCCUAACAGUGACCAUUUGCAUAGUCCAACCAUCGAGCUUAAGCCCAUAUAAACCCGGUAGUCUGUGAAACUCGAAGGAUUUCAAACCCAAUAUCGUAGAGACAGCCAAGAUCGUAAUAAGUUUAGCGGUCGCCAUCCACAGAUACAUCCAGAUUACAACAUUCAUAAAAUACAUCGGAGUUCUUAAAAUUAUUACAAACCAAGUUCUUCAAGUAGCGGAAGCUUCAUAGUUCGAAAUACAACACACACACUUAGUCUGAUACAGUACCAUAGUUCGUUCAUUCCCACAAAAGCAGAAGAGAAGAUGGAGUGACCAUCGCCCUUGGUCUAGUCAUCACCCAUGGCUGGGUACAGACAGAGGAUGCAAUAACCAUAGUACAUUUGACCAUCUGCAAAACAACAUGGGAGUAGAACCCUAAGUACGAGAAUGUACUCAGCUAGACUUACCCGUCAUAAACUUAAAAUAAAGACUCUUCAAGGAUCAUGAAGGCUAUAUAGUGGGGUAGCUGACAACCAUUUUGCAUAACCGCAGGAUUUUAUUACCAUAACCUACAUAAAUCUUUGUUCUUGUAAUUUGCUCAAGUUGAAAGUAUCAUUACCUAUUAUCUAGGUUUGCACCUGCAAUAUUAUAAGCAAGUAUAGUGAUAUGAUAGUACCUCAUCAUAGCAUUCUUAAAACCAUUUAUCAUUAUAACCCAAGUGUUCCAUAGUCCUUACUACGAGGACGAAGCUCAUGUCAAGUGCUCACUAUCCAGGAGCGAUGGCGAUUCGAAUCGAUUUCUAACCAGUUGGCGAGUUUAUUCCCCACACAAACCACACUCACUGAUCAAGUGAGCUACAGAUCACCGUAUUGCACUAUCCAGGACCAAUUCGCGGGUUCGACAGGCACCGCCCGUACCCGAGGACCGUUCCGGCGACCGAGGUAUCCAAGGUAUACCAAGGUUGCGCGUCGCGCCCUCGUCGUUCUCCUCAACCAUCACCAAUACAGAGCGUACAUCGGGCCGAUUCCGGCCCGGAUAGUGCUCAGGCUUCGCGGUCGGAACGACUUAUCCUUUCAGCUAAAUGUGGGGCAUGCGUUCAACAUGACAAGAGGGCCGUCAACGAUCGGUCCUUAAUCGACAUAGGCAGGGGCACUAUGGUCAACCCACCAUAAGACCCUGCCAGGUCUCCAAUUCCAUUCCGUACUUGGUUAUUCUUUUCCCCAAAGCAACCACUGCUUAAUCAGGCAGGUAUCCACCUAUAUCUCGCAGGUGACAGUGAAUCACCCUUCUACCAGACUAAGAAAGCUAAGCAUAGACUCCACGCCUAUCUACAUAGGACAAGGUAGAUAAACGAGUAGGGAUAACAAGGAGUACAUACGCAUCAAUGGUAUCAAGCUAUUCCUAUCACUUAAAUGCAAUAUAGUAGAACAAGCAUAUUAUAUCAUGUAAGUUAGCGAGAAUAGGGAGACUUAGAAUGCUCCGGGGCUUGCCUUUCUCAAACGUGCUGGGCCGGUGAUCCGGACACUCCUGUAGCUCCUCUCCGGGUUCCGGUGCUUCCGGAGGUUCCUGCUCCUGAAUCUCCUCUGGCCCCUCGGGUCCCACCUCGUUCUCCUACGAGCCUGUAUGAUGCAUGUGUGCUCAUGAGUGGAGUGCGAGAUGCCCGAGUGGAUGCUUCUAUGAGAAGGUACCAAAUGAUUAUGACAUGAUGCAUAGGUGAUUCACUUGGUCAUGCUCAUUACAAGGUAGUCAACAUCAUCCAAGAACAGACAAUUGAAUUAAAUAUCUAUUGCAUUCUCUUCUACCAAUUGUUUUCAAGUGUAACCAGCAACCCACAUGAUGCUUCAAAAAUACACCAAACCCCUUUUUAUUCUAUUUAACCCAUAUAUAACAAUUCAUAAUUUCCUUUAUUCAUUUCUAAGCCCAUCAAAAUUUGCAUGCAAUUCUGUUCAUCUAUAAUUUCCACAAAAAUUACAGGAGACUUCCAGUCAAGCAUAAAGUCUACUAUAAAUUUUUCAUAAUUUUUGGAUUCUCAUUUUGAGCUACAAAAGUCACAAGAUUAUUACAUAAAGGCAAGUACAAUUACUCUACUGUGGUAUAAGUGUCAAACAACAGAUUUCAUAUUUUUACAAUUGGUCUAAUAUUAUAGGAAAUAUCCACAAAAAUUUCUAUACUGAUUGCAUGAUCCAAAUCUUUAUUAAAAAUCAUAAACCACUGCCAUGCAAGCAUUUAAAUCAUUAUAAUUCUUAUAUACACCAAAUAAUUUGUACCAAUAUUUUCCCAGUGAGUUAACAUACAUGCAGAGCCAACAAAUCAAGUUUCACAUUUUUCUGAGCCAUAUUUUAAUUACUAUGCAUUUUCUAAGUUUAGCAAAAGCAUGGAUUAAUUAUUUCUGUCCAGAAAAAUGUUCAAACAUGACAUACAAUUACAUCAAACUGUAGAUCUGAAAAAUAUAGAGCACACCAAAAUUUAUUUCAUCAAAUUUGGAGCUGUAGAACUCAAGAUAUGGAUUUUACAAGUUUUAAAUCGAUUUCUAGAAAACCUUUUCUGAAAAUCAAUUCGAAAACAGGAUCAAAAACGCUAAAGACACCUAGUUCUACACCCAACGCGGUCCCCCUGUGACUGACAGUGGGCCUCUGACCCCACUGGUCAGCGAGACUGAGAGGGAGAGCACCUCCGACGAGCAGAUCUCGCCGGCUGUGAGGUUCCCGGCCACGGAGUGAGCACCAUCAUGCUCCCCGUAGCGAGGCGCACCCAGCGGUACCCUCGGGUUGGCCGGAGGAUGGCCGGAGCACCUCCGACGAGCAUGCAUGGCAGCACGGCGGCACUGCUCGCCGUGGCCAGGCUGCUCCGGUGCGGUAGAACAUGCGCAAGGGCUCCUCCGAGCUUCCCCGUCGCACUACGGAUCUAACGCGCCAAGAAGCAAGCGAAACGGGACAGAAACGAGCGAGGUUCGACGCGGCGGAGCUCUCCGGCGAGGUCGGAGCAACUCCGACGAGCGAUUCACGGCGUUCGACGGGCUCUCACCUCAGUAGAGCGUUCGCAGGAGCUUACCGCGACGACGGCGAGUGCGCUAGUGGUUUCGGCAUCGAGAUUGGGGCACUGGAGUGGCCGGCGGUGAGCAGCGGAGCUGCUCCGGCGAUGGCGCUGCGGCGGGGCUCCUACGGCUGCGGUUGCGCUCGCGAGUGGAGGGAGGAGGGAGAGAGGCGCGGGCGACACAGCGAAUGGAGUGGCCUGGGAGCCCGGGCCGGCGUCUCGACCAGGUGAAGCCGGUCGGCCGCGGCGCGCUCCUCGCCGGCGUACGGCCGCCACGUGGCCGACGCUGGCUGGGACGAGGCGGGCGUCCGCGCGCGGGACAGAGGGGGAGGGGGAGGCAGGCCGGGCCGCUGUCUGGGCCGAAAGGGAGGCGGGGUUGGCUCAGCAGCGCCUGCCCCUUUUGCAUUUUUUUUUGAAUUUCUUUUCUCAAAUUCUUUUCUAAAUUCAUUUGGACCAAUUUAAAAUCAUUUUCACCUCUUUCUCCCUAAAGCAAAGUUGUUCCAAAACAAAAACCCUACAACUUUGUUUUAAUAAGCAAUGCCAAAUUCCAAGUAGAAUUUGAAUUACCAAUUAAAACUAGUUCUAUGUUUUCAAAUAAAUUCAUUUUGGGGAUUUUGUAUAAAUUCCAUUCCUCAAAUUCUAUUGCUCCAAAAAUUGCACAAAAAUAUUUUUAAACCUUCUUACACAUAAAUCAACCUAGUUUGAAUAUUCCACAAUUUUAGAAGCAAGCAUCAUAUUUUUAACAUGUUUAAAGCACAUGUAAUAAAACACAUAAAAUCAUAUUUUGGGAUGAAUGGCAUGCUCAUGAUGCUAUGCUUGAUGAGAAUGCUUAUGCAUUGCUUUGGUAAGGCUAAGUGCAUGCUUAACACCUAGGGUGUUACAGACAUGGAAACAUAAAUACAAGGGAUGCAAUGCCACUCACCAACAACCUUCAGAUUGAGCUCUUUGAUGUCUGGGGAAUAGACUACAUGGGUCCAUUUCCUCCAUCAAAGAAGUGUGAGUACAUCUUGGUGGCAGUAGACUAUGUCUCCCAGUGGGUAGAGGCAUUACCUUGCAAGCAUGCCGACAACGUCAGUUCAAAGAGGAUGUUUGAAGAAAUUAUAUUUCCAAGAUUUGGAGUCCCCAGAGUAGUGAUAAGUGAUGGAGGAGCACACUUCAUCGACAAACGCUUCAAGCAAUAUCUAUCAAAACAUGGAAUCCAUCACAACGUCGCUACCCCCUAUCAUCCUCAAACAAGUGGCCAAGCAGAGACUUCCAACAAAUAAAUCAAGAAUAUUCUUCAGAAGACAGUAAGUGAAAUGGGAACAGCGUGGAAAGACAAGUUACCCAAUGCACUCUGGGCAUACCGGACAGCAUACAAGACCCCAAUUGGAAUGUCCCCAUACCAAUUGGUGUACGGGAAGACUUGCCAUCUACCUGUUGAACUAGAGUUCAAAGCACAUUGGGCCAUAAAGAGAUGUAAUAUGGACCUAGAUGUUGCUGGAGAUUAUAGAAGAAUGCAACUAUCAGAAUUGGAAAAAUGGCGAGAGAAAGCAUAUCACAAUUCAAAGAUCUACAAAGAAAGAGUCAAAAGGUGGCAUGACAAGAGAAUCAAGAAGGAGUUCACACCCGGAGAUAAGGUAUUACUUUUUAAUUCUAGGGUGAAGCUUUUCGGGCAUGAAAAACUCCGGAGCAAAUGGGAAGGACCAUUCAAGGUAAUUAAUUCGUCAUCCCACGGAGCUAUCAUACUUCAAAAUGACGAAGGUACGUUAUUCAAGGUAAAUGGUCAACGUCUUAAAUUAUUUUUAGAGCCCAAUAAAGAAUUAGAAGAAAUAGACGUAGUCCAUUUUUACCUUCCCAUGGAGAACUAGAGCCCGACCUUUUUAGUCUGAUGUUUAUGGGUCAUAUAUAUAUAUUUCUAAAUAAUUUCGCAUCUAGAAACACGCUGGGGAAAGUGGGCCCACAGAGGGGCCACAGAGAGGGCGGGCGCCUAGAUCAGGUGGGCGGGCGCCCAGCUCCUGUUCCCCCUCGGUCCCGAUUUUCUCUGUUAUGGAAAAUGCACUUAUGGUAAUUCGAAUAAUCCCUCGGAUGGAAAGUUUCGCACACACAUCGACGGAAGCAACCCGAACAACCCAUAGAGGCACUUUUUGACCCCUAUAUAAACAGACCCCUGACCUCAGUUUUCAAACACCAAGCCACCAAGCCUUCUCUCCUUCAAUUUGAGCUUGAUUAGUUCCUUGCUGCUCCAAUGUCCGAGAAGUACCACGAUGAUUGGGAAGUCGUCCCCUUCAACCACAACAUGGAGCCUGUGGAAGACCCCGAUGCCCGUGCUCUCGUCCCGGCCAACACAGUGCGACAGCUAGAAGCCAUGCCAUUACGCCAACGCAGCUCCGCCCAAUCCUAUCAUGCUCAACCAGUUCUCACCGCAGCGGCACAACCCUCUCCUCAAGGGAUCAUCAUCCAAGAUGAAGACCACCAUCAAGGUGCCAACCGGCAUGAGGAUCCUUCCACCUAGACCCAAUGAGAGGGUCGUUGGAGUCAAGACCAACCGGAGCGGCGAGAUCAGCAGUAUUCGCUACACUACGGAGGAGGAAAGGCCUUACUUUGAAGGGAUUAGAGCAGCCAAAGUCCGUUUCAUCCCUCCAAAGGCAGCCCCGAAGCACGCUCUCAAUGCUUUUGAGACACCUCCCAAGCGUCGCAAGACUAUAAUGGAUAUUGAUGAGGACGUUCGCAGACUAGACAGAAUUAUCAUAGACCUCCAGUCCUCGAUUAAUUCCCUCACUAGGCAGCUCCCUAACCACAACACCAUUAUACUAGGCCUUAGGUAGGAUCUUGCCAGUGCCAACAAGAAGAUUAGGGAAUUAGAGCGCCGCUAAGUUAUUUAGAUUAGACCUUGAGGCAAUGCAUCUUAGUUAUCUAUCUUUAAAUUCGUUUUAGGUUUACUAUUAUCAUCAGUUUGAUAUCAGUUUGCUACUAGUAUUUUUUUAAUAAAUGCCUCAAGAUUAAUAAAGAGUAUUAUUAUUAUUAUUAUUAUUAUGUCUUGUGUGUCUCUACUUUAUUUUUGUGCAAGAAAGCAGAAAACAAGUAUGGGGGAGAUCCCUCAACAUGCCAAACACACUCCGACUACACCACUCCAUGAUUCAGGUACACACUCUGUGUUGACACUUGCUAACACCACUUGAAUACUAGGUUGUCAUCCCCAGCAUGGCACUAGAGUGUACUAUGGUAUUUAUACGAACACAGAUAAUCCGCAAGCGCACGGAUACCGUUGAAGCUUUUACCCGGUUAAAGGUUUUAUCGUAUCCACAGGGAAACGGGAGAACUGAUCUACGCUCUAACUUAACCAAGAUAAGUAAAUAGGUGUGAAUAGGAAAGAUGGUAGAAUCGAAUAAGAACAAUAUUAAAGGUAAGAUAACAGUGAGUGAUAAUAUGGGAAUAGAGAGUAGAGCAAUUCUAGUAUAUGGGCGAUGGUAGCAGAAUAGAGAGGAUAACUAUGGUUUCUCUACUUCAAAGGGGUAUGUCUAUGUCUGGGACGAACCACGUGAUAAGAGUACACCACAAAGGAUGCUUAUCCAUAGGCCGAUAAACCCUACCCGUCCUGCUAACGAGAGGUGGACUACAGGGGACCAACGUAACUGUCACCUACGCGGCCUACCACAUGAUCCAGCUAGUCAGGGGAUAUCCACAAGUAAUCUAGGUCUAAGCACCACGCUUACACCUAUACUACAACACUAACCUAUAGGGUCCUAUAGAUUAGAAGUACUCAAAAGAGUUGUGAACCAGAACAUACAUGAUUAGUAAUUGCAUAAUGAAUUAGAAGUAGAUUACCAAAGUCAUCCCAUGAGCAAGCUUGAUUAGAGCUUGAUCAUGGCGAAGUACAACCGGAGGAAGAACCGACAGGCCGGCCUCUCCUCUAAUCCUCCUUCACUCUCCAUCUCGCUACUAUCUAGAUUUACUCUAGUUUAGAGAAGAGAGGAGAGCUCUCAUCUCUAAACCCUAGCUUUUGCUCUGUCUAUGAAUAAUGAAUAAUGAUCAAGGGGUGCCUCCUCCAGGGGCCAGGGGGUCUGGUUUUAUAGUCCCCUCAAGUGAACCUGGGCCGUCGGAUCAAACUGACAUUGAUUGAAUGGUUAUUCUUGAUCAUUUAGGUCGGUGGAGCAUAAUCCGCGAGAUUGAGCGUGAUUGGCCGAAAAAGGUGGGUGGGCGCCCUAAGGACUUGGGCGGGCACCCUGUCCCUGACUCCGUUCGGUCUCCGCUUCCUUCCCGUGGCUUCUGGAGUCUUCUAGAUGUAAGAUAAUUGCGUGACACGUUGAUAUCUCUAUGUAAUUCCGACGUGUGGGCCUUUCUUCCUUAUUUCCUGAUAACCCCCUGCAGAAAUAGACAAACACCAAAACUCGUGGAAUUCUGUCAGAUAAAACCCUAAGUCUCGAUGUUGAUUUCAUUUGGAUUCUUUUAUUUGUUUAUUUGAUAGUUAAAUUUGAUACUUAAGGACCGUCAACAAACUCCCCCAAGCUUACCUCUUGCUCGUCCCUGAGCAAGGAUAGACUCAGCUAUGGAUCAUAAGUUGUUGCACUAUCUUUAAAAAUUGACGGUACACAUGCUUUUAAAUGAGGUCUUAUCUCUGAGUUAGAGUAAACUGUCAAGACUUAAAACUUACUUACUUUACCUUUCACCAUGGGACUUGUAACCGUCACUUCUGUCUUGAGUGGUUAAAAGAUAGAACAGUCCAGUCAAGUGCCAUGUCGCUUAUUCUUGAUCAGCUAUAGCUCUGGAGUUUUUGUAGAUUUUCAAAUAAAACUCAGAGAUUCCUUUGUAUGACUUUCUCGUAUCUCUCUUUUGUGGUAUUUCUGGAUCCGUACCAAGGCAGUGAUGGUAUAUGCCUUCUCUCAAAAUAUGUGGUAUUUGUGGUAUAAGGGAUAGUGACAUUGUCUUCUCUCUCACCCUACUCUAAUAAGGCUUUAAUAUCUGGAGCUCAUAGGUUUGAGAUAAAAUAUACAUACAUACAAGACAUUUAUUGUAUAGUCAAACCAUGGAUCCAAAGAAACAAAUCAAUAAGCCAAAUCAAGAUGUGCAUGUGUGGCGAAUGAAUAGUGUAUGGUGAUGAUGGUGAUGAUGAUGAUAACAAUGGUGAAAGUCUAAUUCUACUUUUGCUCUUUUGAGGGGAUAUAUACCUUCCUUGCUUUUUGAAACUUUAUGAGGAGAAUGAGAUGCUCUUCUUUUUCUUUUCUCUCAGAUGGGUAUCCUGUACCCCUAAUUCUAAUGUCGGACACUUGUCCAUUUUUACCUCUCGUCUCACUCUUUUUCUUUUCUUUCGUGGUAGUAGCAAGAUAACUUGAGCAUUUAUUUCACAAGGGAAAAACACAGAUGUUUUUGGCUAUUCUCUUCCGAAUUAGGAGUAGAAUAUUUUUAGGUGAUUUUAGAGAUGGAAAUGGAUGGAUAUAUGUGGAUGGUACUUCCGGAGUAGAAGUAGCAUAUAUAUGAGUGAACGUGCAAGUGAAUCUUGAUUUAACCACAUGACAAGCUCCUAAGGGUCUACACAGCUUGACCACACUCAAUGCUCAUAAGCAGUAAAUAAUAAAUGUGUGGCUCAAAGUCUAGCAAGCAUGUAUAUAUGGCUAUGGUAGGAAUUUAAACUUUCAUCAUACAGGAACUCAUCAUGCAACAUUUUAAAGAUUUUUCAAAGAUAAAAUUCUCCAGAAUUCUAGCAUCUCUAGGAAUAGAUAAACAGCAGCUCAACCUUCCCAUAUCAUAUCCGUUAACAACUUAGAUUUCAGAUCAAGUUUUCAUCCCACAAGUUUAGAUCUAGAGCAAGCUUUAAAUUAUAACAGUUAUGUCUAAACUUGAGAGAGAACUUCAAAUUUGCAAAUUAGGCAGAACAACUAUUCCUCAUAUCCAUGCUAGAGUUUUAUUAUUAAGAUUCAGAUUAGCAUAGCCACUUUAUUUAUUUAUUAAACACACUAAGCAAAAGAUAUAUAUAUAAGCACAAAAUAUUUAUUUGGUUUUUCAUAGUUUAUGUAUUUUAAUAUUCUAAUAUAAUAUAAGUAUAAAGGUAGGUAGAAAUACUUAGCGAGAUAAAUGGGGGUGCUCUCCCCCAAGCUGAAUUUUGACGUAAUUUCUCUUGAUGUAGCUAGCAGGUGGCAGAGGUGUAUUUGAAAGUCAGCAGCAUUCUGACAGCGAUUAGAAUGUCCUCCGUCUGCUAGUCUUCUUGAUUCUUAAAUUGUGUGGAGCUCAAAUAGACAACAAAGCUUGUGGAACUAAUUAAGUGUUAGCAUAAAUAUCUAGCCUUCAUCACGUUGAGCUUCCUCAAUAAAUAUUACUCCCUGUUUUUAUAUUUUUAUUUUAUAAAGUAGAAAAGAAAUAUUUAUUUUGUUUUUAUGCCACCACAGUGAAGGUACUUAUGGGUUUUAUGCCACUCGUAUACUCACAUGGGGCUUAGUAUUUUUUAACAUUUUUAUUUUCUUUUCAAGAUAGCAUGAUUAACUAAUAAUCUAUUUAAGGAAAGUAAAUAAUUAAAUGGGAAAGGGAAUGCAGAAAGGAUAAAUAUGGAUAACUACCAAUCUUACCUUUCGGCGAGGGUUCAAUGUUUUAAGUCUUCUUGUCAAGACUUCUCAUCGUGUUCAUUGUUCAGGUGCGUCAUUUGAUUCAGGUGCGGACCUUGACGUCUGCACCUUUUAAUACGGUGUCAACCAUGUUCUUCGUUUGCCCAGCAGUUCGAAGUGCGGUGUUAGCAGUAUCUUGCUCAGUGUGUUUGUGCUCGUAGUGUACCUGCUCAUAGAGACAAGGCAGAGAUCAAGUGCAUGGGCCCUGUUGGUGGAAAACACCAACAAAACUAAAAGUGUAUUUGUUCUUCUCUAACCUUAAGCAUAGUGAGCAAGACAAGUUGAUGGAUGAUAAGUUCAUGAGUGUAGCACUUAUAACAUUUGUCAGAUCAGAUCGCUCAACCUUAUGGAAAGAUAAUUUAUCUAUGUAUAUGUCUUUUUCUUUAUAUCUCUCAAUGAUUGAAUGUGUAACAUUUUAGCUCAUAUGAUUAGGAGUGUGGGAUCAUGGAGGUAGUACUAAGAACAUGGAUUAAAGGACUAAACAUGUUGAAUCAGUUGGGUUGGUUAAUCUAGAGUUGUAAAUCAUACACGUUUGUCUCUUUUAUUUAUAUGAACGCCAGAACCAAGGAGAAGCUUAUAAAAGUGAUAGUCAAGUAUCUUAAGAUGUUACCUUGCUCGAAGAGUGAUGGUACAGUAUCAUCUUGUGGAAGCUUUCCUUUCUUAGCGGUUGUGCGUCGUGUUUGUGGCACCCUCCAUGGAUCAUCUCUCUAUGAUGAAUGAGCUAUGUCCUUCUUGUGCAAAUUGUUAAACUUCAUGUGUCACACUCUCUUCGUAUCUUAUGUGAGUUUAUCUCAGGACUUCCCAAAUCGAUAUUGAAAGAUUUUCUGCAGGGGUUAGUCCGACAAAAUAUACCAAUAUCUACUCAAGCAGUUUUUUAGUUCAAUAACCAAACUAGACUCCAUGACUAAUCAGAUUAAGGAAGGCUAUUUAACCUAAGCACCAUGCUUAAUUUAAAUGCCAAUGGAAGUAUGGCGAGUACUUCCAAACCAACACUUGCUAGUAAAUAGACAAAGGUAGCAUGACAGCGUUUAUAGAGAUCUACUCAAGUGGAGAUGAAGUAGUGUGAUUAGUAUUUAACAAAUUGAGCAUGUGUCAAAGGUAGGGACAACCAGCAUAGCAACAUGGCAAAGGAUGUUUUUAUGUAAAGUACUCCCCCAAGCUUGAAUUUUGCAAAAUUCAAGUUUGGAUGAAUUUAAUUCAAUGUUGUAUGAUGAUUGGUUGGACAUACCUUGUACUUGUCAUUCAUCCGAUCUUCUUGCUCCAAUCUUAGAAAGGUUAGUGACAAGAAUACGCGAAGGAAUAUUUUUUUUACAAUUAUCCUUAUAUGCUCAAUACACAAGGUAAUGUUGCAAAUAAUUAAAGGCUCAUGUUACGAUCUGAUCAAUGCUUAUUUUAAGACACUAAGCUUGUCCUUGGGAAACCAUCAGUUUAUGUUGGCGAAGUGGUUUCCCCUCCGACACCAACCUAUAUCUAGAUCAACUCAACGAGAUCUGCAAUAUUUAUUAUAGACAUAUGCAUCGACAACCGCCCUUUUAAAGUUUUUAUAAAUAGAAAGGAAGAGGGGGUUGGAGAUCUCAAGUGUGGUGAUGUCGGAGAGACCAAUAGAUUGGGAAGAUGUUGCAUAUGAGCAUGGAGUAAACGAAGUGGCUAUGAAAUAAAUUCCAUGCUCAUUAAUGUUAUCUUCGUCUCUAAUCUGAAUGUUCGGAGUUUCUCCUGGAUUGGUCUCACCUAUGUCCUCUUCUGUAGUUGGAUGAAUCUCAUCUUCAAAGGGAGUCAAGAACUCACCAUUUGAAAUUAAGCCAAAGUCAGAACCCAUUAAGGCUUCUUCCUUAUCCAUCCAUUCUACACAUUCUAGCCAUUUAGAACUUGUGAUCAAAAUAGGGGAGGUGUUAGAAUUUUCUAUAUGGCUUAGCUCUCCUUCUAUGGCAUUACUUGACAUGCCAUCCUUAUGGUCUUCAUGACUCCUAUGGUUUGGUCGUCUUGGUGAAUUGCUAGGAUCAUCAUGAGACUGAAAAGAAGAGGGAUAAGAGGGAUCUCUAAGGUCAAGGAUGGAUUUAGAACUUGUGAACAUGGAAGGGGAGUAGAUAGAAUUGUCUAUAUGGCUUAGCUCUCCUUCACUUGAUAUGUCAUCCUCGACUUCUUCAUGAUAGGAACCAGGACAUUCUCUAAGAGAAACAUUAUUGCAAUGAUUUGAAUUAUCCCUGCUUAAAGGUCUCUUAUAGAACCAGAAGUCUAAACCAUCAGCAUCUAAAAGAUUUAAGGUUGGAAUUCCUUCCUCCCUUGGAGAAUUUUGGGGUAUUGAUGGUUUAGGAUCGAUAGCUAAAGUUUGGGAUUGAAGUGGUUGCGAUCUGGCUAUUGAAACUUCUUCUUCUUGUCUAGGAACUGGUUCUUUCUCUUUCUCAGGGAUAUAAAAGCUAGGAGACUUUCCGCUCAUUAAAUCAAUCAAAUUCCAAGCUUCACUAGCGGAUAGGUGGUGGAAAGAUCCUCCAAAGGCCGCAUGAAGGGUUUGCUUAUUUUUCCUACUAAGGCCCUCAAAAAAGUGAAUUAGAAGAACUUCUUCUGGAAUAGAAAGUUUUGGGCCAGUGAGAGUAAGGUUAAUAAAGCGGUCCCAUGAUUUGCCAAGAGAUUCUUCUUCCAGUCGUCUAAAAGAAAGAAUCUCACGCCGAAGUUCCACCACUUUGGAGAUUGGAAAAUAUUUAGAAAGAAAACUACUAUAUAACUCCUUCCAAUCUCUAUGAACACUCCCUACUUUGAGUUUAUACCAAUGUCUAGCUUUUCCCGUUAAAGAGAACGGAAAGAGCUUCCAUUUAAGGGUCUCAUCGGACAUGCCUUCUAUGCGAAGGAGGUCACAGACUCGAUAAAACUCUCUUAGGUGUGUGUAUGGGUUUUCCUCACCUUUUCCUGAGAAAGGUUGUUUUUGAAUAAAUUCUAUGUAUUCAGAGUCUAUCUCAAAACUAGAUGCUAUGAUAGGCUUUGAAGAUUUUGGUGGUUCGAGAUGUGUGCCCAUAGGUCUAUAAAAUUCAUAGAUAGACAUGUUUGAAUUCAUAAUAGACCAGAGAUCAAGGAUUAGAUAAGAAGAAAGAAUAGCAGAGAUGAGGCAAAGGAUAAAAGGAAAAUAUUUUUAUUUAUCCAUUUAUUUUUUAUAAAAUGAAUAAACUAGUUCGUAGUCAACUCAGCAACCGUUUCCCCGGCAACGGCGCCAAAAAUGCUUGUUGACACUUGCUAACACCACUUGAAUACUAGGUUGUCAUCCCCAGCAUGGCACUAGAGUGUACUAUGGUAUUUAUACGCACACAGAUAAUCCGCAAGCGCACGGAUACCGUUGAAGCUUUUACCCGGUUAAAGGUUUUAUCGUAUCCACAGGGAAACGGGAGAACUGAUCUACGCUCUAACUUAACCAAGAUAAGUAAAUAGGUGUGAAUAGGAAAGAUGGUAGAAUCGAAUAAGAACAAUAUUAAAGGUAAGAUAACAGUGAGUGAUAAUAUGGGAAUAGAGAGUAGAGCAAUUCUAGUAUAUGGGUGAUGGUAGCAGAAUAGAGAGGAUAACUAUGGUUUCUCUACUUCAAAGGGGUAUGUCUAUGCCUGGGACGAACCACGUGAUAAGAGUACACCACAAAGGAUGCUUAUCCAUAGGCCGAUAAACCCUACCCGUCCUGCUAACGAGAGGUGGACUACAGGGGACCAACGUAACUGUCACCUACGCGGCCUACCACACGAUCCAGCUAGUCAGGGGAUAUCCACAAGUAAUCUAGGUCUAAGCACCACGCUUACACCUAUAAUACAACACUAACCUAUAGGGUCCUAUAGAUUAGAAGUACUCAAAAGAGUUGUGAACCAGAACAUACAUGAUUAGUAAUUGCAUAAUGAAUUAGAAGUAGAUUACCAGAGUCAUCCCAUGAGCAAGCUUGAUUAGAGCUUGAUCAUGGCGAAGUACAACCGGAGGAAGAACCGACAGGCCGGCCUCUCCUCUAAUCCUCCUUCGCUCUCCAUCUCGCUACUAUCUAGAUCUACUCUAGUUUAGAGAAGAGAGGAUAGCUCUCAUCUCUAAACCCUAGCUUUUGCUCUGUCUAUGAAUAAUGAAUAAUGAUCAAGGGGUGCCUCCUCCAGGGGCCAGGGGUCUGGUUUUAUAGUCCCCUCAAGUGAACCUGGGCCGUCGGAUCAAACCGACAUUGAUUGAACGGUUAUUCUUGAUCCUUUAGGUCGGUGGAGCAUAAUCCGCGAGAUUGAGCGUGAUUGGCCGAAAAAGGUGGGCGGGCGCCCUAAGGACUUGGGCGGGCGCCCUGUCCCUGACUCCGUUCGGUCUCCGCUUCCUUCCCGUGGCUUCUGGAGUCUUCUAGAUGUAAGAUAAUUGCGCGGCACGUUGAUAUCUCUAUGUAAUCCCGAUGUGUGGGCCUUUCUUCCUUAUUUCCUGAUAACCCCCUGUAGAAAUAGACAAACACCAAAACUCGUGGAAUUCUGUCAGAUAAAACCCUAAGACUCGAUGUUGAUUUCAUUUGGAUCCUUUUAUUUGUUUAUUUGAUAGUUAAAUUUGAUACUUAAGGACCGUCAACACUCUGCACACUUUACGUUACACACACAUAUAUCUUGGAUUAUGCAGAAUAUUGUCUCCGACAUGAUAAAUUAAAAAGAUUAAAAUAUUUCUAAUUAUGAUUAAUCUCAAUCUGUGAUAUUUCCUAAAAACUUGCAAUUAUUAUAAAAUCAUUUUAAAACCCUGUGUUACUUAAGACAGUAUGGAAUGUGAGAUGGUAGAGUAUGAGUUUCUUAUUCUUGAUAUCAUUGUUGCUUGGAGAAUUUAUUUCAAAAUAUUCAAAAUUUUAGCUACCAUCCUCAGUGUUUUAUAUGCCUGAUAAAACUGAAAAUAUUAAUUAUAAUUAUAAAAGCUAUCUCUUCUGUAUUGAGUUUGUUCAAAAUGAGUUAGACCCUUGUUGAGAGAUUUAUCAUGCUCCUAAGAUCAAGACAUUUAUUCAGAAAGAUUCACUCUUCCGAAGUAUUAUUGCAUUAGAGGCAUGGGCUAUGCAAAAAUAGAGAUAUUUCGAGGAAAUAAAAAGGAGCAAGUGCUCGACAACCUCGCAGAAAAAUGGACAAGUGUCCGGUAGUAGAAUUAGGGGUACCUCGGUAUCCACUUAAAAAAAGAAGAAGAAAAAUGAUAGCCCAUGGUCCCUCUAAUAAGCAAUAUGCCAGCAAGAGUUGACAAAGAUUUUAAUUUCCAAAGUCUUUGAUCUAAGAGUAUGACAUUCCCCUCCUCGGAUCCCGUUUUGAUCAGGAAAUAAAUGCAAAGUAAGUAUGCUUGAGAAUUUUUGCAAAAUAAAACAACCUCAGUGAGAUAUAUAAAAGAUAAUGAGUGAUCUGAGAAGAACCUAUGUGGAUAAAAAGGUAUGCUAACUUUCUUUCAAAAAUAUACAAAAACUCCAAGUGACAGGAUUGAGAAGAAAGGAUCUUUACUCUUAACCAUAAACAUCCCUGACUAUAGUACACAGUGGAAUUUUAACACCCUGCAAAUAAAAAGAAUGUUUUAAAUGUUUACCCCAGAUAUUUUUCUUAACCAUCCUUCUCUCGAGGAUGAGUAAAAGCCUAAGUAUGGGGGUAUUUGUUGACGGUUCUUAACUAUCCAUUUUAAUUAUUAAAUAAACAAGGGAAAGGACCAAUAUGCAACCAACACCUAGAAUUAGGGUUUGAUCUGACAGAAUUCCAUGAGUUUUGUUGUUUAUCUGUUUCUGCAGGGGGUUAUCAGGAAAUAAGGAUGAAAGGCCCACAUGUCGGGAUUACAUAGAGAUAUCAACGCACCGCGCGAUUUUCUACCAUCUAGAAGACUCCAGAAGCCACGGGAAGAAGGCAGAGGCCGAAAGGGGCCAGGCCCAGGGCACCCGCCCUGGUGACCUGGGCGCCCGCCCCCUGCUGGAUGCCAAUCAGGACUCUCUUCGCACGGGAUGUUCCACCGACCUAUUGGAUCAAGGAAAACAUAGUACCACCUCGCCUACCAACCCAAAAAGCAUAGAGGAGGAGGACUAUAUAAGGAGACCACCUGGCCCCUGGAGAAGACAUGAAAAAAUUAUCAUAGAGAUUGAGGGUGCCCUCGAAGGAAAACCUCUUCUUUAAUUAAUAUUUCUUUUUAGGCUUAGCAACCAAUGUAAAGUAGAAAUAGAUCUUCUAGUUUCUACUAGAUUGAGAGAGAUAGAGUGGAGGUGUAGAUUGGAGGAAGCCCGGCCUGUCGGUGUCUACUCCAAGCUUGUACCUGCGGGAUCAAGUUCUCCUAACCCGAAGCUUGCUCCUAGGAUUCUUCAGUAUUUCGACUUCUAAAUUCUAGUAAGUUCUUGUUUUAUUGUUCUUUUGGUUUAUGAGUUUAUUUUAAUCUCUUCGCGUAGAGUUUAGAGUAAUCAUUGCUGGCGUAAACGUGGUGUUUAGGCUGGGGUACUCAUAGAUAUUCCCUGACUAGCUGGACCGUGGUAGUAGCGAGGAACGUGACAAUUCCGAGUUACCUUUGCAGACCAUAUCUCGUUAGCAAGAAGGAUAGGGUUUAUAGGUGCGGGUUGAACAUCCUUUGUGGUGUCUAGAUUCCGUUAGCCUCCCCAAUACAACAGUAGAUCAUCCUUACCAAGGUUAGAAGGAGACUACGGUUGCAGUCUUCUCUAUUUAUCACUCACAUCGAAAGACAUUCUUUGUUGCCUAAAGGUUAGUAGUAAUAGACCGGUUAGUCAGAUGCACUCUUUCUCCUAGUGGUAAAAAAAUAAAUACGAUACUCUAGAUAAUUUCCCGGGUGAAAUGCUCACCGAUAUCCGUGCGCUUGCGGAUCAAUUCCUUAUUGCGUUCCCAAAUAUCGACAGCUAUGCUAAUCUAGAUGUCUAAUUGAUGUGGUGGCUCUAAUCUUGAUCAGAGGCUUCUUCUCCCUUGAGGAAUAAUGAAUUAGGGUUGAGAGGCUCUCUCCUCCAGGUGCCAGGGGGUCUGGUUUUAUAGUCCCUUCAAGUGAAUAUGGGCCGUUGGAUCAAACCGACAUCGAUUGAACGGUUAUCCUUGAUCCUUUAGGUCUGUGGAGAUAGAUCCCGAAAGAGAGUCCUAUUUGGACUCCAGGAGGGGGCGGGUGCCGUGGUCAACUGGGCAGGCACCCAGGGCCUGGCUCCAUUCGGCCUCCGCUUCCUUCACGUGGCUUUUGGAGUCUUCUAGAUGUAAGAUAAUUGUGUGGCUCGUUAAUAUCUCUAUGUAAACAUGACAUGUGGGCCUUUCUUUCGUAUUUCCUGAUAACCCCCUGCAGAAAUAGACAAACACCAAAACUCGUGCAAUUCUGUCAGAUAAAACCCUAAGUCUGGAUGUUUGUUUCAUUUGGAUCCUUUUUCUUUGUUUAUUUGAUAAUUAAAUUUGAUACUUAAGGACCAUCAACAGUGGCAUUGGCAGCAUCAUCCUCAGUGUGUUUGUGCUCGUAGAUCCAAGUUCUUCACUUGGUGGAAUCUGGGAGUUGUAAAACUCCUUCAUGUUUUGCUCAAAGUGUACCUGCUCAUAGAGACAAUGCAGAGAUCAAGUGCAUGGGCCCUGUUGGUGAAAAACACCAACAGAACCGAAAGUGUAUUUGUUAUUCUCUAACCUUAAGCAUAGUGAGCAAGACAAAGUUGAUGGAUAAUAAGAUCAUGAGUGUAGUAUUUGAUACAUUUGUCAGAUCAGAUUGCUCAACCCAAUGGGAAGAUAAUCUAUCUAUAUUUAUGUUUUGUUUAUAUCUUCCAAAGAUUAAAUGUGCAACAUUUUAGCUUAUAUGAUUAGGAGUGUGGGAUCACGAAGGUAGUACUAAGAACAAAGAUUAAAAGACUAAACAUGUUGAAUUAGUUGGGUAGUUCAAUUUGGAGUUACUAAUCAUACAUGUUUGUCUCUUUAUUUUAUGUGAACGCCAGAACCAAGGAGAAGCUUAUAAAAGCGAUAGUCAAGUAUCUUAAGAUGUUACCUUACUUGAAGAGUAAUGGUACAAUAUUACCUUGUGGAGGCUUUCCUUUCUUAGCGGUUGUGCACCGUGUUUGUGGCACUCUUUGUCUCGUUCUAUGGAUCAUCUCUCUAUGAUGAAUGAGCUAUGUCCUUCUUGUGCAAAUUGUUACAUUUCAUGUGUCUCUCUCUUCAUCUCUAAUGUGAGUUUAUCUCAGGACUUCCCAAAUUGAUAUUGAAAGUUUUUCAGCAGGGGUUAGUCCGACAAAAUAUAUCAAUGUCUACACAAGCAGUUUUUAGUUCAAUAACUGAACUAGACUCCAUGUCUAAUCAGAUUAAGGAAGGCUGUUUAACCUAAGCACCAUGCUUAAUUUAAAAGCUAAUAGAAGUAUGUGCAGCACUUCCAAACUAACAAUUACUAGGAUAAACAAAGGUAGUGUGAUGGCAUAAUAAGAGAUCUACUCAAGUGGAGAUGAACUAGUGUGAUUAGUAUUUAAUCAAUUGAGCAUGUCUCAAAGGUAGGGACAACCAACAUAGCAACAUGGUAAAGGAUGUUUUUAUGUAAAGUAUUUCCCCCAAGCUUGAAUUUUAAAAAAUUCAAGAUUGGAUGAAUUUAAUUCAAUGUUGCAUGAUGAUUGGUUGGGCAUACCUUGCGCUUGUCAUUCCUGGGAUCUUCGUGCUCCAAUCCUAGAAAGGUUAGUGACAAGAAUACCGAAAGGAAUAUUUUUACAAUUAUCCUUAUAUGCUCAAUACAUAAGACAAUGUUGCAAAUAAUUAAAAAUUCAUGUUACGAUCUGAUAAGUGCUUGUUUUAGGACACUAAGCUUGUCCUUGGGAAACCAUCAAAUUAUGUUGGUGAAGUGGUUUCCCCUUCAACACCAACCUAAGCGUGCCUAUAUCAAGAUUGACUCAACGAUAUCUACAAUAUUUAUUAUAGACAUAUGCAUCGAUAACUACCCCUUUAAAGUUUUUAUAAAUAGAAAGGAAGAGGGGGUUGGAGAUCUCAAAUGUGGUAAGGAUGGAGAGACCAAUUGAUUGGGGUGAUGUUUUAUAUGAGCAAGGACUUGGUGAGGUAUUUAUGAAAUAACUUCCAUGCUCACUAUUGUUUCUCUCAUUCUCAAACUCAAAGGAUGAUUCUUCAUGAAUGCUUAAAAUUCCUCUAGGAUUGUCUCUCAAGUUUGUUUUAUCUAUAUAUUCAAUGGUGAUAGCACAAGGAUUUUUAAUGCCCUCUAGCCAUUGAUGUUGCUCUUCUCGAUCCUCCUUGUGGUCUUGGUGACUCUUAUGCAUGGGAUGUCUAGAGAGAUUCAUAGGAUCAUCGGGAGGUUCAAGAGAAAGAGCAUAGUAGAAAUUAUUAGGCUCAAGGAUGGGUUUAAAGAUAGGUUCGAAUGAGUCAUCAAAAGUGGGCGUAGAAUGGGAGAAGAUGGGAUUGUCUUCUAAAUGGCUUCGCUCUCCUUCUAUUGCAUCACUUAAGUUGCCAUCCUUGAGUCUUUCUCGAUGUCCAUCAAAGGGAUUGGAUUUGAGAUGCUUUCUAAGAGAUCCCUUCUUAGGAAGGUUCAGACUAUAUGCACUCUAAGGUCUCUUAUGAAGCAGGAAGUUUAAGUUCAUCCCAAAACAAAUUUACAAAGGUAGAAUUUCUUCUUCCCUAAGAUGAUUUUGGAGCACUACUAGUUUGGGUUGGAUAGCCGAAUCAUUGGAUUGAAAUGUUUGGAAAUCGGCUAUUGAAACUUCCUUUAUUCGUCUAGGAGAUGAUUCCUUCUCUAUCUCUAGGAUUUUUUUAUCAAGAUUAGUGAAAGAAGGAUGUCCAUGAAUGAAGAUAUACCUUGCUUUACUAACAGAUAAAGAAAGAAAAACUCUACCAAGGGUUAUAUGAUUAAGACCAAUGUGAAAAUAUCGAGGAAAAACAUGGUCUUAUAGGGCUAGGUUUAAACCAGAAUUUAUAGAAAGAUUAUCAGAUUCCCUAGGUGUAGCUAAAAGUUCAUUAUCUUUUUGAUUAAAAGAUAUGACCUCAGCUAUAGAAAAGGGUUGGUUUUGACCUAUUGCAAUCAACUCCGGACACAGAUCAUAAUUAGGGGAAAAGAAAGGACUUGUUGACUCCCAUGGUCUCCGAAGGUGCAAAGAAUUCAAUAAUAUGUAUGGAAUUUGAAAUAUCCAUAAAGAUGGAAAGAAUAAAAAGAUAAAAGAAUAAAAGUAUAAAAGUAUAAUACAAGAUAAUAGUAUGACUAAAAGUUAUCUCAGCAAACCGUCUUUCUCCCCGGCAACGGCGCCAGAAAUGCUUGUUGAUAUUUGGUAACGCCAUUAGCAAUUGAUCCGCAAGCGCACGGAUAUCGGUGAGCAUUUCACCUGGGAGGUUAUCCAGAGUAUCGUAUUUAUAUUUUUACCACUGGGAGAAAGCGUGCAUCUGACUAACCAAAUCUAUUGCUACUACCCUUUAGGCUACAAAGAAUGUGAUUCGAUGUGAGCGAUGUAUAGAGAAGACUACAACCGUAGUCUCGUUCUAACCAUGUUAAGGAUGAUCUACUGGAUCUACUGUUCUAUUGGGGUGGCUCACGGAAUCUAGACACCACAGAGGAUGUUCGACCCGCACCUAUAAACCCUACUCGUCCUGCUAACGAGAUGUGGGCUGCAAAGGUAACUCGGAAAUGUCACGUUCUUCGCUACUACCACGGUCCAGCUAGUCACGUGAUAUCUAUGAGUACCUUAGCCCAAACACCACGUUUACGCUAUCAAUGAUUACUCUAAACUCAACCGGAAGAGAUUAAAGUAAACUCCUAAACCAAAGAACAAUAAAACAAGAACUUACUAGAAUUUAGAAUUCGAAUUAUUGAGCAAGCCUCGGGUUAGGAGAACUUGAUCCCGCAGGUACAACCUCGGAGUAGACACCGACAGGCCGGGCUUCCUGCGAUCUACACCUCCACUCUAUCUCUCUCAAUCUAGUAGAUCUAGUCUACUCUCACAUUGGAUGCUAAGCCCUAAGUCUAUUUAGAGGAAAGGUUAUCCUUCGAGGGCACCUCUCAACUCUAUGAUGAACUUGUUCUCCUCCAGGGGCCAGGGGGUCUCCUUAUAUAGUCCCGUCAAGUGAAUCUGGGCCGUCGGAUCAAACCGACAUUGAUUGAACGGUUAUCCUUGAUCGUUUAGGUCGGUGGAGCGUAAUCUGCGAGACGAGUCCUCAUUGGACUCUGUACCAGGGCGGGCACCCUAGGGGGGUGGGUGGGCGCGCUGCCCCCGGGCCCGAUCACCUUCCCGUUCGUUCUCGUGGCUUCUGGAGUCUUCUAGAUGAUAGAAAAUUGUGUGGCACGUUAAUAUCUCUAUGUAAACCCGACGUGUGGGCCUUUGUUCUGUAUUUCCUGAUAACCCCCUACAAAAAUAGACAAAUACAAAAACUCAUGGAAUUCUAUCAGAUAAAACCCUAAGUUUGGGUGUUGGUUGCAUUUGGAUCCUUUUCUUUAUUUAUUUGAUGAUUAUAUUUGGUACUUAAGGACCGUCAACAGAAGGUAAUAUGAGUAAGUUUAAAACUUAAUUGUUUACCGUAACCUAGAGAUGAGAUCUUGUUUGAACGCAUGUGUACCUUUAAGGCAUGAAACCACUGCAGAAACUCUUGAGUCCAUCCUUGCACAGGGACGAGCAAGAGGUAAGCUUGGGGGAGUUGUUGACGGUCCUUAACUACCAAAUAUAAUCAUCAAUUAAAUAAAGAAAAGGAUCCAAAUGCAACCAACACCCAGACUUAGGGUUUUAGCUAACAGAAUUCCACGAGUUUUGGUGUUUGUCUAUUUCUGUAGGGGUUUAUUAGGAAUUACGGAAGAAAGGCCCACACGCCGGUUUUACAUAGAGAUGUUAAGGUGCUGCGCAAUUAUCUAACAUCUAGAAGACUCCAGAAGCCAUGGGAACAAACGGGAAGCUGAGCGGGCUCGGGGGCAGGGCGCCCGCCUCUUGACGGUCCUUAAGUACUAAAAUUAAUAAUGAAAUAAACAUGAAAAAGGAUCAAUAUGAAACAAACAUCUAGAAUUAGGGUUUUAUCUGACAGAAUUCUACGAGCUUUGGUGUUUAUCUAUUUCUGCAGGGGGUUAUCAGAGAAUAUGGAGAGAAGGCCCACAUGUCAUGUUUACAACGAGAUAAUUACGUGCCGCGCAAUUUUCCUCAAUCUAGAAGAGUCUAGAAGCCACGGGAACGAACGAGAGCACGAUCGGGCUCGGGGGCAGGGCGGCCACCCACCCCCUUUUGGCGCUCUCCCAGGGUUGGAACCCAAUCGGGACUCUGCUUCGGGACUACGCUCCACCAACCUAAAGGAUCAAUCUAAACCAUACAAUCUAUGUCGGUUUGAUCCAAUGGCUCACGUUCACUUGAGGGGACUAUAAAACCAAGGCCAAACGCCCCCUGGAGGGAGGAGAAGAGAAGAAAUCAUUAUUCAGAGGUAGCCAUCAAAGUUAGGGUUUAGAGCUUCUCUCCCACGGAGAAUUAGAAUUAGCUACUCCCUAAUCCUUCAAGUUUAGAGGUUUGAUUAGAUAGCAAUUAGAGAAGUAGAGCACUACGCUCUGGAUUCGGAUCUUCGGUAAUAAAGAUUGGUAUUAUUCAUAUCUUUCUCUAAUUCUUUGUUCUAAUUGCAUUAUGUCUCUAAUUAUUAUGUUCUUAGUUUGUUCUAGUUCUAUAUUUGAUAUAGUUCUAAUUGAUAAUGAGUUUAUGUAUAAGUUUGCAAAGCGCUUAGCUCUUGACGCGAGGGAGUUAGGUGAUAGAUCACAUGUGAGCGUGGUGCUUAGAAGUUAUUUAUCUGCAAAUGUAUCCUAUUGGCCGGGUCGUGUGGUAGUUCGCGAUAGUGACAGCUUCGUUGAUUCUUAUAUAGUCCACCCUCCGUUGAUAGGACAGGCAGAACCGGUAUUGUGGAGUAAGUCAUGCGAUGCUCUGAUUUACUUUAUCAAUGUUCCUUAUACAUGAAUGAAGAGUCUUUUAUGCUAUAUAUGAUCUUGUAGAUAACUAGAGUAGAUUAUGACUUAGUAGUUAGUAGAUAACUUAGAAUCCAUUCUCUAGCUAAUCUGACAUCACCUACAUAUAUGAGGAGUAGUCUAUUUUCUAAUCGCUGUGUUAUCUACCCAUGAACUUAUAAUUCAUUAUCUUUAUGUUUAUGGUUUACCCCCUGCUAAAGUAAGUGACUGUGUGACGAGUUUCUCAUUAGUAAUCAUGUUCUUGCAAGUUUAUCUCUAGUCUAUGCCUUGAUAGAUUUUGUCCCCUUAUUUUAAUUUCAUCCCUUGAGCAAAAUUAUAAAUAACGAUACCUGGAAUACUUAUCCUAGUGAAAUGCUACAAUGAGGUGUUUUAUCUGUGAGCUUGCGGAUAGAAUAGAUUAUUUUCUAGAAGAGCCUUUACAUUUAUAAAUACCUUUGUACACUCUGGUACCAUGCUGGGGAUGACAACCUAGUAUCUAAGUGGUGUUAGCUAGUGUCAACAAGCAUUUCUGGCGCCGUUGCCGAGGAUUAUACGAGUCUCAGGAAUAAGUCAUAAAGGGGAACAAAAGGGUAAUACUUAGGAAAGCCAGAAAAUCAAUCAAGGUUAUUCAUAUAAAUCAUUAGACUAGACUAUAGAGAAAUAAUUGCAUAAAACAGCUACUAAGUGAGAAAUCAUAACAAGGCACCUCUGCUUUGGCAGGUUCACCCUGUUGUUUUUCUAUGUUUACAUUUUUGUACAGGGUAUAUCAGGAUUGACUUUUGGUACAUUCAACUCUUCAUCAUUAGAACCAAAGCAAUCAAGAGAAGAAGAAGCUAGCUACCAAUUGCUGAAGCUAUGGCACAAAAGACCCUACAAGAAUUCUCUGCUCCAAGUCUUGACAACAUUCCAACUGGUCCAAGAUUUGUAGUAGAAGAAGGAAUACCUGAGUUUGAGCUCAAGUCAAGCCUCAUCAAUUUGGUGCAAGCUACACAAUUCAGUGGAAAGGCACAUGAAGAUGCUAGUGCACACUUGCAGAAUUUCUUAGAGAUUGGAAGCACAAUCCACAUCAACGGAGUUGACAAAGACGUCAUACUGCUUCGCCUUUUUCCAUUCUCACUAGAAGGAAAAGCGAGGAAGUGGUUCUACACUCAUCAAGAUAACAUCGACAACUGGACGAACUUGUCAGAUGCCUUUCUAUCGAAGUUUUUCCCUAUAGGCAAAACAACUGCCUUAAGAGGAACUAUUGUCAGUUUCCAACAGCAGAAGACAGAAGCCAUUUCAGAAGCAUGGGAGCAUUUUCAAGGAUACAUAUCAGAUUGUCCUCACCAUGGAAUGGCCACAUGGUUGCUUAUGCAGACCUUCUACCAUGGAUUAACCCAGAAGACUCGUGAGUGCCUAGAUGCAUCUGCUAAAGGAUCAUUCUUGGAGCUUACAUUUGGAAAAGCAGAGAUACUUUUGGAUAAGAUAGCAGAAAACCAAAGCUGGUUCCAAGAUAAAGCUCAACAAUGUCAUCAAACUGAAGAAAUACCAGAAGAAGUAAAUGCAUUAUCAACUAAGAUGGAAAAUUUGCUCCAUUGGAUUGACCAGAGGGCCAAGUUUAAAGAAGAUCAAAGGGCUAUUGAGACAGCAUACAAAUAUCAACCAACUUCGAGUCAACCCAAUAGCAAAGGUAUGAAUUCAGGUAAUACUUUCAAGCAACUUUCAUUAAAAGAGAUAAUUGCUCAACAAACCAAAAUUAAUGACGAAGUUAAACAAAGGCUAGAUACAAAUGAAUCAUCUCUAAAAGAUAUACACAAUAAAAUGGAUUUUCUACUAACUGCCUUUGAUGAGCAAAACACUCUUAAUAAAAUGGUAGAGCUUAAAUUAAUAAAGAUAGCUGCUGCACUGCCUGUUGCUACUAACCUUGAGCAGGUAAAGAAUAUAACUACUAGAGGAGGCAAAGCUACCAGAGAUCCCCCAUACCCAAAAGAGAAUCAAAGAACAUCAGCACCAGUGCAACCAGCAGUGAUAGAAGAAGAAAGCCCAGUUGAAGCAGAAGAUCUACUACAACCACCAAGAACUAGAGAAAUGAGGAAAGAUUUUUACGACACCAACUAUUUGCCAUUUCCCAGAAGAAACAGAGGACUGCAGUCGGAUGAGCAGUUUGGUAAGUUUGUAGAGGUCAUUCAGAAAUUAUACGUCAACAUAACUCUGCUCGAUGCCAUACAGGUACCUACAUAUGCAAAGUACAUCAGAGAUAUUCUUAACAAGAAGAGACCACUGCCCACCACUGAGGUUAUCAAGCUGACAGAAGAAUGUAGUGCGGCCAUCCUCAACAAACCACCAAAGAAGAAGGAAGAUCUAGGAUAUCCCACUAUUGACUGCUCGAUCGGAAACCAACACUUCAACAAUGCACUUUGUGAUCUCGGAGCAAGUGUCAGUGUGAUGCCAGCAUCAGCCUACAAAAGGCUUGAGCAUGCGACCCUAGAACCAACAUCAAUGUGCCUACAAUUAGCGGAUCAAUCGGUUCGAGACCCUCUGGGCAUCGCCGAGAACAUUCCAGUCAAGAUCAGAGAUUUCCUUGUGCCAGUAGACUUCGUAGUAUUGGACAUGAGUCCUGACUCAAAAGUGUCCAUCAUCCUUGGAAGGCCAUUUCUGAGCACUGCCAAUGCCCACAUUGAUGUCGGGAAAGGAGAAAUCAAGUUCAACACAAACGGUCAAGAAGAACACAUGACAUUCAAACCCAGACCAGAGAGAGACUCUACAGUGAAGGAAGUUCAUGAAGAACCAUUGGAGACACCGUCUCCGGAGGAAGGUAACUCAGAAGAUUAAAAGAUUUGGAGGUCCAACUUGGGGGACCUAAAAAUCCCAAACCCUCACCGGGAGGUAAAUCGGUAUUUAUCUGCAUUAUUAAUUUUAUCAUGUUUAAAUUCUUGCAUAAUUAAUUCUUGCAUUAGUCAUAGCAUAAUUAUAAUAAUCAAAAAGCCCCAUAUAAAUAAUAUUCAUGGUGUGUAACAACCCAUAUUUAUUAAUUAUUGUGGAGGCACAAAAAAUAUUUUCCAUUAUCAUUAUCAUUAAGUUUCAAUUCUCAUAGAUUUUCCUACAUUAUAUUUAAUUAUAUUAAUCUUCUAGAAGCAUGACCCACACUCCUUGGGUCCCACAUGCCAUACACUUCACCUCACAUACAUCCCAUCACAUAAUUUCAUCCACCACUAUGUUUCCACCCACCAGACAUCUUUCCACCAUCCAACAACCACCACACAACAUUAUUCUGCGUGAGAUCAAAGCAAGGAAGCAAGUGGAGAAGGCACACCCAGGAUGGACACCAGGAGUGGGCGCCCACCCUGUCCCCUCUUGCUCCUAUAAAUAGCCACAUUCCACCUCCAUCUUCUUCACAAAAACACUCCAGAAAACCACACAAGUUUCAGUUUCCCGAGAAGGAGCUCUUGUAGUGAAGAGAAGAGAGUAGAGAGAAAGAGGAGAGUGGAAGAGAAGGUUGGGAGUUCUUUCGAGAGAGUGAUUAUCACCUAGCAAGUAGUGAUCCCGUUGUCUAAGCGGAAGUAAAAGUUGUUUAGGGGGGAAGCUCUACUAAAAUAGAAAACUUAUCUUGAACGACUAACCCCUGGACUACUGACAUUCCGGAUAGCUGACCACUAACAUUUUCUCUCACAUUUUCCACUAGUUGUGUUUUUGCCAACUUUUGUUUGCAGGAUGUUUAAGAAGGUGAAGAAUGCAGGGAAGGCUCUCAAGAACAUUGGUACAAGGAGUUCAGCCCGACACUCCUCACAGCCAUCAGAGAUGAGCGUCGACCCGACACCCACACAAGCUCCAUCAUCUUCAUCAGGUCAGCAAGUUAAGGUCCUUCUUAAGAUAGGAGACCUUGGACUGAAGACCCGAAGAGAGAAAGAAGUCUAUCAGCAACUGAAGAAUAAAGAUUUUAUUCACACCCCUACUAUUGAUCCAAUCUUACUACAAGAAACAGGUGUGGACACUGAAUUUGACUUAAUUUUCCAAAUGUUAGGUUGGACAAAUUUUUGGAAUAUAACUGAGCUGGGUUCUCGUCUUCUCACCCUCGAAUUUCUUUGCACUUUACAAUACUAUGAGGGGGGAAUUGUUUUUCGAAUGUUCAAACAGGAAAUUAUGUUGUCUUGGAGAGAGCUGAGCGACCAUCUUGGUUUCUCUUCAAGAUGCAUCCUGAACAUUGACUCCGAUUUACCCAAUUUUGAGAGACACCAGUUUUGGAGAGAAAUAUCUAGAGAUAAUUUUUAUAGUCAAGCCCGAACUAGUGACAUGGAACACCCUACUCUUAGGAUGUUCCACAAAUGGCUUGGGUACAAUCUUUUCUAUCGUGAUGAUAUUAGAAAAGUAAGAGUAGGAGAUUUACAACUUUUAUAUGCUGCUAUUAAUAAAGUACCCACUUCACCUGUUACACUUUUAGUUUCACAUUGGCUUAGUGUACCUAGUCUGCAGGGACCAGUAGGAUGUACUUCACUUAUCACUCGUUUAGCCUCUAAUCUUCAUUUACUAGAAAACUCAUCGUUGGAUUUCAUAGAGGAGUUAAGAAUUUAUCAUGGCUAUGACACAUUUAGACAAGCUCGGAUGUUAAAGAAAGAGGGGAAUGUAAUGUAUAUGCUAUAUGAUGAUAAAGGCAAGAUUCGGUUACCUAACCCGAACCUUGGCCUAUACGUUGUGCAAAAUCUUUUGAUUGAGAUUGCAGCAACACCAGUGAACCAGAGAGCUCCACAGCGAGUGGCAUCUGAAAGGGUGACCACUCACCGAGAAUGCACCUGGUAUGGAGCUGACCCUGGACCAGAAGAAGCAGCGCACCUGCAUUAUUGCGAUUACAACCCCCGAGUCCUUCGAGACCCAUGGGUUCGUCAUGCGCAACCACAAGAGCCAAUAGAGGAGACAUGGCCGGAGAGCCAAGAUCACCAGUGGACAAACCCGCCUUUCCAUAUGGGCAGGUACUCCACUGAUCCAUAUGGAGCUUCAGGAUCCAGACCUCCGCCCCAAUUUGAUGCAGGACGAUACUCCGACGCCUCCUACGCUUGCACGAAUGACUACUAUCAAGAGGCCGGUGCUUUCUUCACUCGUACCGACAACACCCUCCUCGACAUCCAGAACACGCAAGCAGAACAUGAAAGACUCCUGGAAGAGCAACAAAAAUGGAACCAGGACCAUGCUGCUGCAGUACAAGAGCUGAGACAAGAUACAACAACAAUGAAUGACAACAUCACAACUAUGAUGCGGUUCUGGAACAUCGGGUAAGACCGACGUCAACAUCCAGCUUGGGGGAGUUCCUCCCCAAUUUAUCAAGUAAGUUUUUAUUUGCUCUUAUUAUUUAUUCUUUUCUAUUUUAGUAUUUUAUCUUAAAAAGGAAAACUUAGAAAACCCAAUAAAUAUUUUCUUGCUUUAAAUUACUGCAUUUUAUAAACAUGAAAACAAAAUAAAAAGAGUGUGUAGAUAAGUGUGCUUUAUUUAUCUGUCAAGAGUUAAUCUCUAGAAAAAAUAAAAAGACCAAAAAGAUGCAUGAUGGAAAUGAUGAAUAGUUGCUCUGUUUGCUUACUUUCAAGUACCUAGCUUUUAUAUUAGAGUUCUUCCAGGAAUUACUAAAACUGAAACUUACUGUCUUUGGGAAGCAUAAAACUAAUGUCUAGGUAAGCGAAAGGCAUGAUAUAAAGUUGAGCUACUGUUUAUCUUGUUCCUACUACACAAAGUUCUGGAGAUUUAUUUUGAAAACUUACAAAUCACAUGAUGAGAUUCCUAGCAUUACAAACUACCUACCACAGCCAUACUUGCUAUAACAUCUUUUACUACACUUACAUUGAGUUUGAUUGAGCUGUGUAGACCCUUAGGAGCUUUUCAUGUGGUUAAAUUAAGAUAUUCACUUGCACACAUCUACUAUACCAUUCAUCAUCAUUCAUUAAAAUUGCUAAAAAUAUUAUCACUCACUGUCCUGAAUAUUGUUAUUCUCUCUCUAAAAAGAUUCAAUGCAGAAGAGGCAUGGGUUAUGCAAAAAUAUGCGAGGAAAUAAACAGGGUCAAGUGCUCGGAACCUCAAAAAAGAAAGAAAAAGAGUGAGACGAGAGGUAAAAUAGACAAGUGUCCGAAGUAGAAUUAGGGGUACAAAGAUGCCCACUUGAGCGGAAAAAAAUGGACAAGUGUCCGACAGUAGAAUUAGGGGUAUCUACUACCCAUCUGAAAAAAAAAGAAAGAGAAAAGAUAGCCCAUGUUCUCCCAAAGCAAAGAUCAGAGAAGAGGAGAGAUAGCAAUAUGAGGAGCAAUGAGAAGUAAGUUUCAUUAUCACUUAUACAUUUUUAUCAUCACUAUCAUUUACUCCACCACACAUGCACAUCUUGAUUUAAUUAUAUGCUGAGUUCCUUUUGGAUCCAUGGCUCAAUUAGACAACAUAUGUAUGAGCUGUUUUUCACUUCUAUGAGCUCCACUUAAAUAUUCCAUUAACUAUAGGUAAGUGACAUUAUGGUAAGGAUCCACAAAUACCACAUAUAGAGAGACUUGAGAGAAUCAUUGCUGGGAACUCUGAGUUUUAUUUUGGAAACUUAUAAAAUACUCUGGAACAAAGGUGAAGUAUAAACAAGAGGAAUAGUGCUUGACUUAACUAUUUUGUCUUUCGAUUACUUAAGAUUUAAGUGCAGGUACUAAACUCCAUAACACUUCACUCUAACCUGGAAGAAAUUUUAUGUAAAAGCAUGUGUGCCUGUCAGGAUAGAAAACAUCGAAGCAACUUCUGAUUCGUCUAAGUUUAGCUAUUUGCUCAGGGACGAGCAAAGGGUAAGCUUGGGGGAGUUUGUUGACGGUCCUUAAGUACUAAAAUUAAUAAUCAAAUAAACAUGAAAAGGGAUCAAUAUGAAACAAACAUCUAGAAUUAGGGUUUUAUCUGACAGAAUUCCACGAGCUUUGGUGUUUACCUAUUUCUGCAGGGGGUUAUCAGAGAAUAUGGAGAGAAGGCCCACAUGUCAUGUUUACAACGAGAUAAUUACGUGCCGCGCAAUUUUCCUCAAUCUAGAAGAGUCCAGAAGCCACGGGAACGAACGAGAGCACGAUCGGGCUCGGGGGCAUGGCGGCCGCCCACCCCCCUUGGGCGCCCGUCUAGGGUUGGAACCCAAUCGGGACUCUGCUUCGGGACUACGCUCCACCGACCUAAAGGAUCAAUCUAAACCAUACAAUCUAUGUCGGUUUGAUCCAAUGGCUCACGUUCACUUGAGGGGACUAUAAAACCAAGGCCAAACCCCCCCUGGAGGGAGGAGAAGAGAAGAAAUCAUUAUUCAGAGGUAGCCAUCAAAGUUAGGGUUUAGAGCUUCUCUCCCACGGAGAAUUAGAAUUAGCUACUCCCUAAUCCUUCAAGUUUAGAGGUUUGAUUAGAUAGCAAUUAGAGAAGUAGAGCACUACGCUCUAGAUUCGGAUCUUCGGUAAUAAAGAUUGGUAUUAUUCAUAUCUUUCUCUAAUUCUUUGUUCUAAUUGCAUUAUGUCUCUAAUUAUUAUGUUAUUAGUUUGUUCUAGUUCUAUAUUUGAUAUAGUUCUAAUUGAUAAUGAGUUUAUGUAUAAGUUUGCAAAGCGCUUAGCUCUUGACGCGAGGGAGUUAGGUGAUAGAUCACAUGUGAGCGUGGUGCUUAGAUGUUAUUUAUCUGCAAAUGUAUCCUAUUGGCCGGGUCGUGUGGUAGUUCGCGAUAGUGACAGCUUCGUUGAUUCUUAUAUAGUCCACCCUCCGUUGAUAGGACAGGUAGAACCGGUAUUGUGGAGUAAGUCAUGCGAUGCUCUGAUUUACUUUAUCAAUGUUCCUUAUACAUGAAUGAAGAGUCUUUUAUGCUAUAUAUGAUCUUGUAGAUAACUAGAGUAGAUUAUGACUUAGUAGUUAGUAGAUAACUUAGAAUCCAUUCUCUAGCUAAUCCAACAUCACCUACAUAUAUGAGGAGUAGUCUAUUUUCUAAUAGCUGUGUUAUCUACCCAUGAACUUAUAAUUCAUUAUCUUUAUCUUUAGGGUUUACCCCCUGCUAAAGUAAGUGACUGUGUGACGAGUUUCUCAUUAGUAAUCAUGUUCUUGCAAGUUUAUCUCUAGUCUAUGCCUUGAUAGAUUUUGCCCCCUUAUUUUAAUUUCAUCCCUCGAGCAAAAUUAUAAAUAACGAUACCUGGAAUACUUAUCAUCAUGAAAUGCUACAAUGAGGUGUUUUAUCUGUGCGCUUGCGGAUAGAAUAGAUUAUUUUCUAGAAGAGCCUUUACAUUUAUAAAUACCUUUGUACACUCUGGUACCAUGCUGGGGAUGACAACCUAGUAUCUAAGUGGUGUUAGCUAGUGUCAACACCGCCCUCCCUCCUUGGGCGCCCGCCCAGCUAGAGGAACUAAUCAGGCUCCGUCUCGCGGAUUAUGCUCCACUGACCUAAAGGAUCAAGGAAAACCGUGUGAUUAAUGUCGGUUUGAUCCGACGGUCCAUAUUCAUUUGGAGGGACUAUAUAAGCAGACCCCUUGGCCCCUGGAGGAGGCACCCCUUGAUCUCUAUUCAUUAUUCAUAGAUAGAGCAAAAGCUAGGGUUUGGAGAUGAGAGCUCUCCUCUCAUCUCUAAACUAGAGUAGAUCUAGAUAGUAGCGAGAUGGAGAGCGAGGGAGGAUUGGAGGAGAGGCCGGCCUGUCGGUUCUUCCUCCGGUUGUACUUCGCCAUGAUCAAGCUCUAAUCAAGCAUGCUCGUGGGAUGACUUUGGUAAUCUACUUCUAUUUCAUUAUGCAAUUACUAUCCAUGUAUGUUCUCGUUCACAACUCUUUUGAGUACUUUAAUCUAUAGGACGCUAUAGGUGGGAGUUGUAGUAUAGGUGUAAGCGUGGUGCUUAGACUUAAAUUACUUGUGGAUAUCCCUUGUCUAGCCGGAUCGUGUGGUAGGCCGCGUAGGUGACAGUUACGUUGGUCCACUGUAGUCCACCUCCUGUUAGCAGGACUGGUAGGGUUUAUCGGCCUAUGGAUAAGCAUCCUUUGUGGUGUAUUCUUAUCACGUGGUUCAUCCCAGACAUAGACAUACCCCUUUGAAGUAGAGAAACCAUAGUUAUCCUCUCUAUUCUCCUAGCAUCGCCCAUAUACUCUCUAUUCCCAUAUUAUCACCCAUUGUUAUCUUACCUUUAAUAUUAUUCUUAUUCAAUUCUACCAUCUUUCCUAUUUACACCUACUUAUCUAUCGGGUUAAGUUAGAGCGUAGAUCAGUUCUCCCGUUUUCCUAUAGAUACGAUAAAACCUUUAACCGAGUAAAAGUUACAACGGUAUCCAUGCGCUUGCGGAUUUAUCUGUGUGCGUAUAAAUACCAUAGUACACUCUAGUGCCAUGCUGGGGAUGACAACCUAGUACUCAAGUGGUGUUAGCAAGUGUCAUCAAGCUUUUUGGCGCCGUUGCCGGGGAAACGGUAGCUGAGUUGACUACGAACUAGCUUAAUCAUUUUCUAAAAAAAUAAAAAAAAAAUAAAUAUAUUUCCUUUUAUCCUUUGCUUCAUCUCUGCUAUUCUUUCUCCUUAUCUAAUCCUUGAUCUCUGGUCUAUCAUGAAUUCAAUCAUGUCUAUCCAUGAAUUUCAUUGACCUACGGGCACACAUCUCGAACCACCAAAAUCUUCAAAGCCUAUCAUAGCAUCUAGUUUUCAGAUAGACCUCGAAUACAUAGAAUUUGUUCAAAAACAACCUUUCUCAGGAGAAGGUGAACAAAACCCAUACACACACCUAAGAGAGUUUUAUCGAGUCUGUGACCUCCUUCGCAUAGAAGGCAUGUCUGAUGAGACCCUUAAAUGGAAGCUCUUUCCGUUCUCUUUAACAGGAAAAGCUAGACAUUGGUACAAUCUCAAAGUAGGGAGUGUUCAUGGAGAUUGGAAGGAGUUAUAUAAUAGUUUUCUUUUUAAAUAUUUUCCAAUCUCCAAAGUGGCGGAACUUCGGUGUGAGAUUAUUUCUUUUAGACAACUAGAAGAAGAAUCUCUUGGCAAAUCAUGGGACCGCUUUAUUAACCUUACUCUCACUGGCCCAAAGCUUUGUAUUCCAGAAUAAGUUCUUCUAAUUCACUUUUUUGAGGGCCUUUGUAGGGAAAAUAAGCAAACCUUGAAUACAGCAUCUAGAGGAUCCUUCUAUCACCUAUCUGCUAGUGAAGAUAGGGAUUUAAUUGAUUCAUUGAGUGGAAAGUUUCCUAGCAUUUAUAUCCCUGAGAAAGAGAAAGAACCAGUUCCUAGACAAGAAGAAGAAGUUUCGAUAGCCAGAUCACAACCACUUCAAUCCAGAACUUUAGCUAUCGAUCCUAAACCAUAGUUAUCCUCUCUAUUCUCCUACCAUUGCCCAUAUACUAGAUUGCUCCACUCUCUAUUCCCAUAUUAUCACCCAUUGUUAUCUUACCUUUAAUAUUGUUCUUAUUUUAUUCUACCAUCUUUCCUAUUUACACCUACUUAUCUAUCUAGGUUAAGUUAGAGCAUAGAUUAGUUCUCCCGUUUCCCUGUGGAUAGGAUAAAACCUUUAACUAGGUAAAAGCUACAAUGGUAUCAGUGCGCUUGCGGAUUUAUCUGUGUGCGUAUAAAUACCAUAGUACACUCUAGUGCAAUGCUGGGGAUGACAACCUAGUACUGAAGUGGUGUUAGCAAGUGUCAACACUAGCCACUUGCCCUUGGUAAGCCCGGUCUUGUGAUCCCUCGACGCGAACGGCUACUCGCGCACUGGACGUGGAGCGAUGGCGAGAGUAGCGUGUACCGUCCUGGAAAAUGGGCUGGAUGGUGGGGUACUAUGCUCUCGGGUGCCGUGAACCCGGUCAGAUCUAGGGAGAGCUAGAUUUGGGUUGACAUAUGCAAGUUUUGGUUCUACAUAUUGUUGACGGUCCUUAAUGCUCACAUUUAACUGUCAACUAAUCAUGAAAAAGGAUCCAAAUGCAACCGACACCUAGACUUAGGGUUUCAUCUGACAGAAUUCCAUGAGUUUUGGUGUUUGUCUAUUUCUGCAGGGGGUUAUCAGGAAAUAUGGAAGAAAGACCCACACGUCGAGUUUACAUAGAUAUAUUAACGUGUCGAGCAAUUUUCUAUCAUCUAGAAGACUCUAGAAGCCACAGGAACGAAGCAGAGGCAGAACGGGGCGUGGCCCAGGGCGCCCACCCACCUUCUGUGCCCAAUCAGAGUCAACUUUGCGUGUCGUGCUCCACCGACCUAAUGGAUCAAGGAUAACCGUUCAAUCAAUGUCGGUUUGAUCCGACGGCCCAGAUUCACUUGAGGGGACUAUAUAAGCAGACCCCCUGGCCCCUUUAGAGCAUACCUCUUCUACAUAAUCAAAGCUAGGGUUUCAAUUAUUCAUCCAAGUAGAGAGGAUCCCUCUAGUUCAUCUAGUUCUAGUUCUAGUUCCUCUAGUUCUAGUUCUAGUUAGUUCUAGUUGUAAACUAGAAAAUAGGGAGAGAGAAGAGGAGAGCGGAGGAGGAGCCAGAUCUGUCGGAUCUUCCACAACAUUGUACUUUUGCAGCAACUGGUUCGUUCUUCAUCGUUCUCCAAGUUCUUCAAUUCAUAAUUCUUGAGUUCUUUAAUUACAUUUAUUUACAUUCAAGUUAUUUAUUGGAUUCCCGCUUGCAUCAAGUGCUCUAGUCUUUAUAACGCUAGAGUAGUAAUUAAUAGAUUAGACGUGGUGUUUAGUCUUGCCAUUACCUAGAAUUGCACCAAGUCCUUCUUUUAUUAAUAUUUAUUGAUUCUGAACUCCAAAUAUAGCAAAUAAUAUAUGCAUUUUGAUCAGCUCGACGAGAUCUUUGUAAUGGUGUACUCCAUUCUGUGAUUGGUGCUUAUACCAGGGCGGGCGCCCUAGGGGGGAGGGCGGGCGCCUUGCCCACGGGCCCGAUCGCUUUCCCGUUCGUUGCCGUGGCUUCUGGAGUCUUCUAGAUGAUAGAAAAUUGAAUGGCACGUUAAUAUCUCUAUGUAAACCUGACAUGUGGGCCUUUCUUUCAUAUUUCCUGAUAACCCCCUGUAGAAAUAGACAAACACCAAAACUUGUGGAAAUCUGUCAGAUGAAACCCUAAGUCUAGGUGUCGGUUGCAUUUGGAUCCUUUUUCAUGAUUAAUUGACGGUUAAAUGUGAGCAUUGAGGACCGUCAACAAGCUCCCCCAAGCUUAACCUUUGCUCGUCCCCGAGCAAAGAUGGACUCAAGAGUUUCUGCAGUGGUUUCAUGCCUUAAAGGUACACAUGCGUUCAAACAAGAUCUCAUCUCUAGGUUAGGGUAAACUGUUAAGAUUUAAACUUACUCAUUUUACCUUCCACCAUGGGGCUUGCAACCGUCACUUAUGCCUUGAGCAGUUAAAAGAAAGAACGGUCUAGACAAGCGCAAUAUCUCUUGUUCUUCGAUUAACUAUAGCUCUGCAGUUUUUGCCAAUUUUUAAAUAAAACUCAUAGAUUCCUUAUAUGACUCUCUAGUCUCUCUUUUGUGGUAUUUCUGGAUCCUUACCAAGGAAGUAAUGGUGUAUGCCUUCUCUCAAAGUAUGUGGUAUUUUUGGUAUGAGGCAUAGUGGUAUUGCCUUAUCUCUCACCCUACUCUAAUAAGGUUUUGAUAUCUGGAGCUCAUAGGUGGGAGAUAAAGUAUACAUACUUACAAGACAUUUAUUGCAUAGUCAAACCAUGGAUCCAGAAGAACAAGUCAAUAAGUCAAAUCAAGAUGUGCAUGUGUGGCGAAUGAAUGGUGUAUGGUGAUGAUGGUGAUAAUGUUGAAAGUCUAAUUCUACGUUUGCUCUUUUGAGGGGGUACAUACCUUUCUUGCACUUGAGGCUUUUGAGGGGAAUGAGAUGCUCUAUAUUUUAUUUUUCUUUUCUCUCAGGUGGGUAUCUUGUACCCCUAAUUCCACUGUCGGACACUUGUCCAUUUUUACCUCUCGUCUCACUUUUUCUUUUUUUUCUUCUUCUUUUUUUGAGGUUUCAGGCACUUGCCCCUUUUUAUUUCCUCGUAUUCACUUUUUUCAGAGCCCUCACCCUCCUGGAAUAAUGUAGCAAGUGGUAGUAACCAAAAUAUCUCGAGCAUUUAUUUCACGGGGAAUAACAGGGAUAGGAUAAUGUUUCUUGGCUAUUCUCUCCUAGAUAGGAGUAGAAUAACUUUGGGUGAAUCUGGAUAUGGAAAUGAGUGGAUGUAUGUGGAUGCGUACUUCUGGAGUAGAAGCAGCAUGUAUGAGUGAACGUGCAAGUGAAUCUUAAUUUUAACCGCAUGAUAAGCUCCUAAGGGUCAACACAGCUUGACCACACUCAAUGCUCAUAAACAGUAAAAAGUAAAUGUAUGGUUUAUAGUCUAAUAAGCUUGUAUAUAUGGCUGUGGUAGGAUUUUAAACUCUCAUUAUACAGGAACUCAUCAUGCAACAUUUUAAAGAUUUUCAAAGAUAAAAUUCUCCAGAAUUCUAGCAUCUCUAGGAAGAGAUAAACAACAGCUCAACCUUCCCAUAUCAUAUCUGUUAACAACUUAGACUUUUGAUCAGGUACUCUUCCUGCAAAUUUAGGUUUAGAGCAAGCUUUAAAUUAUAACAGUUAUGCCUAAACUUGAGAGAGAGCUCAAAUUUGAAAACUAGGUACUUGGCAGAGCAUCUAUUCAUCAUAUCCAUGUAAGAGUUUAUCAUUGAAGUUCAGUUUGGCAUAGACGCUUUAUUUAUUUAUUCUGCAAACUAAGCAAAGAUAUAUAUAAGCACAAAAUAUUUAAUUGGUUUUUAUGAUUACGCAUUUUUUAUUAUUUGAGUAAAGUAUAAAUGUGAGUAGAAACACUUAGCUGGAUAAAUGGAGGUGCUCUCCCCCAAGCUGGAUUUUAACAUAAUUUCUUCUGAUGUAGCUAGCAGGUGGCGUAGGUGUAUUUGAAUGUUGGCAGCACCCUGAUAGCGAUUAGGAUAUCCUCUGUCUGCUAGUCUUCCUUGAUCCUUGAAUUCUGUGGAGCUCAAAUAGACUACAAAGCUUUGUGGAACUGGUUAAGUGUUAGCAUAAAAUCUCUUAGCCUUUGUCAAGUUGAGCUUCCUCUAAUUAAUAUUACUCUCUUUAGUAGGAUCAUAAAUUUAUUUUUAUAUUUUCAAUUUUACAGGACAAGAAUAUAUUUAUUUUAUUUUUACGCCACCACAGUGAAUGGGUUUUAUGCCAUGAGCAUACUCACUUGGGCUUACUGUUUUUAACAUUUUUAUUUUCUUUUCAAGAUAGUAUGAUUAACUAACAAGCUAUUUAAGGAAAGUAAAUAAUUUAAGAAAAAAAGAAUGCAGGAAGGAUAAAUAAGGAUAACUACCGAUUUUAUCUUUCGGCGAGGGUUCAAUGUUUUAAGUCUUCUGAACAAGACUUCUCACCGUGUUUAUUCUUUAGGUGCGUCAUUUGAGUUAGGUUUGGACCUUGACAUCUGCACCUCUUGAUAUGGUGUCACCCAUGUUUUUCGUUUGCCCAGCAGUUCGAAGUACGGCGUUGGCAGCAUCCUCCUCAGUGUGUUUGUGCUCGUAGAUCCAGAUCCUUCACUUGGUAGAGUCUAGGAGUUGGAAAACUCCUCCAUGUUUUGCUCGAAGUGUAUCCUGCUCAUAGAGACAAGACAGAGAUCAAGUGCAUGGGCCCUAUUGGUGGAAAACACCAACAGAACCAAAAGUGUAUUUGUUCUUCUCUAACCUUAAGCAUAGUGAGCAAGACAAAGUUGAUGGAUGAUAAGAUCAUGAGUGUAGCAUUUAAAACAUUUGUCAGAUC